GAGAAACUGAUUGACCGGUUUAUACUUAGCAUCAACAUUGAGAGUGUGCUCAACGAGUUCUCUCGGUACACCAGGCACGUCAGAAGGCUGCCAUGCAAAGAUGUCCCGAUUCUCACGGAUGAACUCGAUGAGCGCGCUUUCCUAUUUCGGAUCCAAGUUAGCGCUGAUGCUAAACUGCUUGGACGAAUCGCCAGGCACGAAGUCAACAAGUUUAGUCUCAUCAGCGGAUUUAAACUUCAGGGCCGGAUCAUGCUCCGUAGUUGGUUUCUUCAACGAAGUCAUAUCUGCCGGAUCAACAUUGUCCUUGUAAAACUUCAACAACUCUGUUGCACAAACCGACUCAGCAUAAGCCGCAUCACCUUCCUCACACUCCAGAGCAAUCUUGCGGCUUCCAUGCACGGUUAUAGUUCCCUUGUGACCCGGUAUCUUGAGCUGUAGAUAGACAUACAAGGCCGUGCCAUAAACUUAGCAUAAGCUGGCUGUCCAAAUAGGGCAUGAUACGGGCUUCUGAUUUUCACCACUUCAAAGGUCAAGGUUUCUGAUCUCGAGUCAUGCUCAUCUCCAAAAGCCACCUCCAGAGCUAUCUUACCAACAGGAUAUGCCGACUUACCAGGCACCACACCAUGGAACACCGUAUUGGACGGUUUAAGAUUUUUAUCUGUUAGCCCCAUGCGACGGAAAGUUUCAUAAUAAAGGAUAUUGAUACUACUCCCUCCAUCCAUGAGUACCUUAGUGAACUUAUAACCUCCCACCUGAGGUGCCACCACCAGAGCCAGAUGACCCGGAUUGUCAACCCGGGGUGGAUGUUCUUCUCUACUCCACACAAUGGGCUGCUCGGACCAGCGCAAAUAACGGGGCACCGCCGGUUCAAGGGCAUUCACCACCCUUUUAUGAAGCUUCUGAUCGCGCUUGUCCAAGCUAGUGGUGAAGACAUGAUACUGUCUGCUAUUCAACUGCUUCGGGUUGCUCUGGUAACCCGACUGCUACUGCUGCUGAUUGCCCUGAUGAUUAUAGCCACCUUGGUUACCUUGAUUACUUUGAUUGUUAUGUCCACCCUGAUUGCCAUGGAAUCCUGAACCGGAAUUUCCUCCGCCAUAACCCGUCCCAUGAGAGACAGAGCCCGAACCGCCUCCUGAUCCAUGAUCAUACCGGAAAGAAUCAGAAUUUUUGAACUCUUGCAUGAUGUAACAAUCUUUCCAGACGUGUGUAGACGGUUCCUCCUUCGUCCCAUGUCUUGGACAGGGCUAGUUCAACAGAUACGACAACCGGUCCGGAUAGGAUUCGGCAUUCCACUGCACCGGGGCGGUUUACCCUUACGCCGCUGGCCCUUUUCGUGUGUAUUAGUGUUAGCCACAAAGUCUAAACUGUGGUCCGCUUUAUGCUUGUCGCCGUUUCCAUGACCCGUCGGGUUGUGGUGCUGCCCCUUGGCGUUGCCGCUCUUCUUUCCCUUCCCUGUCUUAUCAUCGUCAGACUCGGGAUCCUUGGUACUAUCAGAGUCGGCAUACUUCACCAGUGUAGCCAUGAUGGUUCCCAUGUCAUUACAAUGACAUUUGAGCCGUCCCAACUUCAACUUCAAGGGUUCAAACCGGCAAUUGCCUUCCAAUGUUAAAACUGCGGUGUCAGCGUUGAUGCAGUCUGAUGAAUGCAAAAUCUCCGAAACCCGGCGCACCCAAUGGGUUGUUGACUCUCCUUCCUCCUGGACACAGGCAGCUAAGUCCACAAUUGACAUGGGCUGCUUGCAUGUAUCCUUGAAAUUCUGAAUAAACCGGGCUCUCAACUCGGCCCAUGACCUGAUAGAAUUAGCCGGUAAGCUCUUUAGCCAAGUGCGGGCCAUUCCUUCUAGCAUCAUGGUGAAGUACUUCGCACAUGCCGCAUCAUCCACGUCCAGCAUCUCCAUGGCCAUCUCGUAGCUUUCAACCCAUGUUUCAGGGGAUAAAUCGGUGGUGUAACUCGGCACCUUGUGCGGGCCCUUGAAAUCCUUGGGCAGGCGCACAUUGCGCAAAGUUGGGACAAGACAUGGCACUCCCAAGGAACUAGAGGUAACUCCUGGUUCCACCGAUGUGGUUGGACGAACCGGAGUAAGCUGACAGGCCUCGUGCUGCGCCGCUAACUCGGCCUCUUUGCGUGCCCGAGCCCGGUCCACCACCUCCUGAGCACCACCAGCACCACCCGCCGGGUUAUGGCCACGGGGCGGAUCACGGUUCCGCGCAUUGCUUGAUACUGCCAGUUCGUCCAUACGCCUGCUGUAACUCCGGCUUGGACGGGGAGUGGAAUGAAUCCGAUCGCGACUAUAUGAAUAAGCCUCCUGUUGAACCAAGGCUGUCUGAAGAAGCUCCUUAACCCGACGCGUCUCAACCACUGCUGGAGAAUCGCCUUCGAUCGGGAUGGCCGCCAGCCGUGAAGCGGCAACGACAAUGUUGUCCAUUUGGUUAGAAUAAUGACCAGGUGGCGUGGGGACAUGAGGUACCACAAUGUUGUUCUGACGAGGUGGAUCCACCAAACGUGGCUGAACUGGCGCCCCUACUCCGGGUGCCUCUGCCCGGUUUACCACAGGCGGAUUACUGGUCCCUGCUCCUAGCGUCAUAAACCGGCGGCAGGCGAGAUCGGUGCCUCCUCUUCAGGACUUCGUUCGACGCACUCUGAUCCAGCAUAAUCCGGUAAGCUUGUGCAUCCAAAGCGGCCCGCUCCGCGGCUAUCCUGGUAUCCUCAACUGCUAAGUCGGCUUUUGCCUGGGUGAUCUGAUCUUUCACUUUCGCGAUUUCUGCAUUGUGUGCAUCCUGAUCCGCCGGGUUAACCUCCACCAUCAGCAUUGCCAACACAUCAAAAAAAUCAGAUAGAACCUGAGCUGGCGGUCGCACAGGGCCUCCUGCCCCAGCCACUGUCGCCGCUGCUGAUCCGGAAAUCAUCGCCGCUGCGGUCGAAGAGUGGAGCGCUGGUUGCGUGCCGGCCAUGAAGAUCGCCACCCGGUUUGGCAGAUCAAAGGGGUCCGGAAUACUGUCGCCAUUGGAACAGCCCUCAAUCCGGCCAUCUUGUAACUGAUAUAACGACUCGGUCUCUCCAGUCGAUGACUCGUCGCCCGAAUAAACGAUGGUCUCACCACCAGAUUCCGAUCUAUCCUCAGAUUCCCCUCCAUGGAUAACUCCCACGAAGGCACGCUUCAUGACAUACUUGACCCGGGCAGAUCUCGCACGCUAAGCCGUUUCGACGAGGUCGGUGCAGAUGUCCGGCUCAGGGCCCGGUUCGCUGAUCUUGCCAAUGAAAACGUGUAUGCCACCAAAGGGGACCCGGUACCCGUACUCGAUUGAGCCGGCCUCGGGGCCCCAGCCUGCAUCGUCGAUGUAGAGCUUGCCGCGACGACUUUUGGUCAUCCGGCCCACAGGGUAACCCUUGAGUCCAUCAAAGUUGCCCUCCAAGGACUUGAAACCAUCAUGCGAUAGCCCCACGGUGGGCACCAACUGUCGUGGUUUUGUCAUGGCAGAUGUCCUAGAGAAAGGACUUAGUCGUGGAGCCAUCGCUACGGGUUAGCUUAAAGGGGUAAAAGCGGACAAGGGACGCAAGAGAGUUUUAUACUAGUUCGGCCCCUUACGAUGAAGAUAAAAGCCUACGUCUAGUUGUGAUGGAAUUGAUGGGGUUUCGAUGACCAGGGAGCGAAUACGCUUUGCCUGAGUCUCGAGUUGUUGUCUGUUGUCCUUGAACCGCCACCGGGUCGUCCCCUUAUAUACAUGGGUUGACGCCCGUCGGUUUACAGACUCCGAGGCCGGCUCAUAAUCGUGUCCGGCUCGGUCUCUGCUACUUCUAUCUUACAACACAAGUUUACAUCUCAAUGCCAGUUUGUGUCUAUAGGCCUUAAACCGGAUUUGGGCCCUGGGCCUUCAUGAAGCGGCACCGUCUGUCUUCAUGGGCUUCAGAUUUAGAUGAACUACUUUGAAGUUAACCCGGCCUCUCCUGGCCCUUUUCCCUCCAUUUUGUUUUUCGGAUCAGAGAAAGUUGUUGCAAAGGGAGGCCAUGGGCUGCUUGCAACCCGAGAAAGCCAUGUCCGUGCAUAUCCUCGAUGAGGUCGGACAUUUUUGCAACUGGCGUGGACUAGAGGUGACGGCCAUCGAUGCUGAAGCUGAAACCGGCUCUGCGAUUUGCUUCAACCGGCACCGGGAAAGCUACCAUCGGUGCCCGGGUUUGUUGCAACCAGGCGACGAUGAAGUGUGGCUGGCGUUGGCGGGCUACAAAUUUCGUUGCAACCGACAAUGGGAAAGCUACCACUAGCGACCGAUUUUUUGUUGCAACUGGCGUGCGUUGGUGCAAGCGACGUGUGGUGGUGCGAUGAGCGGUGACAUGGGCUGACCAUGGAGAACAAGAUUGCUACAACCGGUACGCUUUUUUGCUACCACCAUGGUGUUCGCUGUUGCAUCUACGGGGAGCUCAUCGUGGAUGACCCGACCUCACAGAUGGGACUCCACCUGUUGCUGGGAUGCCUGGAUGUCGCGUCCUUCCGAUGACAGCUGCGAUGCAUCAUGCCUCAUGCUGCUUGUACGAACCGCCAACGGCAAGGGCUGGAACUGGAGACACCCACUGCCGCCACCACGCCGACGUGAAGCUGGAACCGGCAUAGCACCAUGCUACAAAUGACAUUUUAUUUUGCUGCAACUGGCAUAGCACCCUGCUACAACCGGGGUCUCAUUUUGCUACAACGCACCGCUGGCAUCGCAUUUUUACUACAACCGCGUUGCCUUUUUGCUACAACCGGCUUCCUUUUUGCUACAAUCGGUGGCGGCACUGAUGUAGACGUUCAUGGGGAAAUCAAAUCAGAUUAAAGUGUGCGAAGGAUUUAUUUUUCUUUCUCAGCAUGGGGGCCAGCCCUCGAUCUGGAGCGUACGUACGUACGCACGCGAUCAGAAGCUCUGCGGGCGACCGGCCUAAAUUUGAGCCGGCGUACCGGCGCCUAUCAUCGCCUAAGGGUAAAAGCCCUUAGGCAAAGAUCAAAACAACUCUGAUAUUUCACGGAGGGUACCCAAAAGGGUGCUCAAAAAACUUGGCUCCUGCUUGUCGCCACAGCUCAAUGGAGUUUCUGAUGGCCCCUGUUAUAUUGAGCCAGCUUGCAGCCUUGGCUCUGAAGGUGCAGCAACCUGCCAGUUUGGCAACACCGUGUCUUGGUCUUGCACAGUGUCAUGACAGUAGAUACGCGCGUGGUCGGCCGUGUGCAAGGGUUGUGCCUUCCUAUCCCCUGACCGAAACCAGAAACGAUGUAGUUCGACUGAAAGAGCAUGCGCGCGCGCCGCAUUGCCGAGCCACCGAGUUCGUCUGGAAGUCGACUCGAGGCUACGACUCUCGAACCCCGAUCGCUGCACAUAUAUAUAAUCGCAAGGAAAGCAAAUCACCGCACCAGUGAAAGUACAAAGGGCGUGUUUGGUUGCCCGCAUCGAGCCCAACUAGGCCCGCGCGGGAAGGGAGAGGCCUGUUUGGUUGCCUGGUUUUCCUGUUGGGCUUGCAUCACACGCUCCUCAAAGCAGCCCAGAGCCUGGCUCGCUGGAAACGCUCGGAUCGGCAGUUUCUCGCGAGCCAGGCUGAGUGCGGCGCGAGGUUGCACGGGCGGGAGCGAGGCGAGGGCGAGGGCGAGGGGGGAUGGCGGGAGAUGGAAAUCUGGCGCGCCGUCCCGGCGCCAAAUUAGCCUCACCCCCCUUUCACUCGCUCACCCAUUAGCCACUACCCCCCUUUCUUCCCUACUACCUCACCACCGGCGGCGGCUGCGAUUUCAUAUCUGUGCUAUAGGCAGCGGUGGCGGCGGAAGAGGCGGCGGCGUUUGCAGCGGAUCUGGUGCUCCCCUUGCUAUUGGCCACCGUCUCGUCAACCUAGUAUGUGCCAUGGCUCCCCCUACGUCGUCCUCGUCUCCGAUGUCGGUAAGCAGCACCCCUCCCCCCUUUGUUAGCUCAGUGGUUAGGCCGUUAAGCUAGGUGUAGGAUCGAUUUCCCACUGAACGAACCGUCGAUGUCGACUAGGUUAUGGAUGCACGGAUGAGGCUGAUAAUCCAUGCAACAGCACUGAUUAGUGUGAUUCAGGCAUGGGUCAUGUUCAUGCACCAGAGAGCUGUUCGUCGUGCUGGGAGACCUUUGAUCCGCUAUGGUCCAUUGUUUCCCCAGGAACAGGAGAGGAUCCAAAAUCUGAACUACAUCUACAACUGCAAUGACGUCGAGGCUCUGUGGAUGCUUAGAAUGAAAAGAGCACCAUUUUCCAGGCUUGUCGAGACCUUUAGGAGCAGGGGGCUAUUACAAGAUAGCAUCAACACCAGUGUCGAAGAGCAAGUGGCCAUGUUCCUCCAUGUUGUUGGCCAUAACCAGAGGUUCAGGGUCAUUCACAACAUGUUCAGGAGAUCAAUGGAGACCAUCUCUAGGUACUUCAAGCAGGUGCUUUAUGUUGUUGGGGAGCUUAGAGGAGAGAUGAUCAGGAGACCAUCUGGCCAGACUCCACCCAAGAUUCGCGGAAGCCCAAGAUGGUAUCCAUACUUCAAGGUGAGCAUUGACAAUAUACACUUUUCAUGGCUUGAUAUGCUUGUAUUGUUCAAGUUGAGCACUAACACAGGCUUGUGAUGCCAUUUUCAGGAUUGCAUUGGGGCAAUAGAUGGUACUCAUGUCACUGCCAGAGUUCCUAGGUCACAGUCUGCAGCAUACAGGGGGAGGAAGCACUACACAACACUACAAAAAAAAUACACUUCCGUGAUGAUACGUGUUUGUCACAGUAGGUCGCGUUUUUUGUCAUGCAUGUACAUCCAUGAAAAAUUUAUGACAGAAUCAAGAUAGUCAUACCUGUGCUAUCGUAGAAGUGUUCCAUGACAUUACCAAAAUUAUCAUCACGGAAGUGUCCACUUCCAUGACAAUAAAUCGCACGUCAUAGAAGUGCUUUCGUCAAGGGUGACCAACACGUGGCAUCCACCAUAACGGAACGCCGUUAAGCUAUCGGGUCGGGUUUUGGAUCCGAUAACCCAUUAACAGCCGCGACCAAUGGGGAUUUUCCACGUGUAAAAUCAUCAUUGGCUGGAGGAAACACGUGUCGGCUCAUCGUUGGGACAGAUGUCAUCCACUCAUUGGACAGAAGGCGCCUAUGAUACGUCGACACGUGGCACGGCCCAUCAAGUUUAAAUGGGCCGGCCCAACUAAAGGCCCACAAGAUUUUGCGGACCAUAAUGGGCCGGCCCAGCUAAAGGCCCACGAGAUUUUGCGGACCAUGAUGGGCUGGCCCAGCUAAAGGCCCACAAGAUUUCCCGGGCCAUAAUGGGCUGGCCCAGGUAAUGGCCCACAAGAUUUUUGUGGGCCUGUUAAUUGUUCGCCGAAUAUUUGGGCCCAACUAUAGCCCAGUGACUUUCGGCCUGUUAGAGGCCUGAUGUAGACAUGGGCCCAUUUCAGCCCGGUGUGACUUUCGGCCUGGGAAUGCCCCAUGCUGCCCAUGGGCCAUAUAUGGUCCGACGGGACAUCGGGCCCACUAACGGCCCGUGCUAAAGGUGGCAACAAUUAAGCCCAACGUGACUUUUGGCCUGUUAAAGGCCUGUCGCGUAAUUCGGCCCGUUGAUGCCUGUGCUAAGCUUUCGGCCUCUUAAAGGCCCAUGAUAUCAGUGGGCCAACUAAGGCCCGAGAUAUGUUUCGGCCUGGUAACGGCCCGUGAGCUAACUGGGCCCAAAACGGCCCGGUCUACAUUUCGGCCUGCUGAAGGCCCGUCGACGACUAGUGAAAAUUGAGGCCCAACAUGCAUUUUGGCUGCUAAAGGCCCGUGGUUUCAUCUCGGCCGUAACAGGCCAGUACAAUAUUCAGCCUGUUAAUGGCCCAACGCUACCUGGGCAAACUAAGGGCUGGGUCGACAAAAGGCCCAACUAAAAUAUAGGCCGGUGUAAGUUUGGGCCUGGCGCAAUGUGUGAAGGCCCCAAUCAUUCGGGCCCAAGAAAGACGCAGGCCGGCCCAAUUGUGGCCCGCUAAAAACCUGACCCGUUAGAGUCGAAUGUUUCGGUCCGGUCGACUACAUCUGUUUUUUUUUCAGAUAGCGAAUGAUGCAGUAACUAGUAGGAAUUAAGAACAAACCUACUCUAUACAAUAAAGAAAUUACGGCAUAGUAACUAAGAAUAAACCUACACUAUACAAUAAAGGAUUUAAGGUAUAUGACAUCCACUGGGCAUCGAAGUUCCCCACAGUGAUCAUAAAGCGCAACGAAGAAGCAGAUUACAAAAACUGGGCACCAUUGCAGCAUAACAAAAUAAUACUGAACCGAGACCACUUCCAAGAAAGUUCAAGAAAGGUUAGCCUUGCGGGGGAACUGCUGCGCAAGCUGCUGAUCAAGGCUGUGAGACCGGCCUAGCAUGUCGGUCAUAGCUUCCAGGUGUAGCUGUUUAGCGAUGAGGUUCUCAUUGGUGUUCUCCACAAUCUUUCUUAGAGAUAGGACUUCAAGUCGAAGUUGAGUUGCAGAAUGCCUUUCUGCUAGAACUUGGGACUGAAGAAGUCGAACUGAUUCAGACAACGAAUUCUGUGAGCUUGUUUGACUGUUAGUCUCAAGUUACUUGAACACUGCAUCAAGACAAGACUUUGGGGUUGUCUCGCUAUCUUCAAGAUGUUUUGCCUUCUUUGCUGCAAUAUAUGUUGGGUUUGUCUCAUAGCCUUCAGCAGACUUGUGCAUGCCAUCAGGCAUAUCACCCUGAAACAAAGCAGAGAGAUGACAGGUUUUGCACGUGUAUAAACAAAGAUGAUAAUUGUUCUGUCAAUUCUAUCCAAUUUCAAAUUAGAAAAUAAAGAGUAAGUUCAAAAUAUCAAUAGCAUAAUUUGGCAUUGUUCAUAAUGCGGGGAGCUUCACCACACUACUGGAUUACCAUGUCAACAUAACAAGCAUAGAUGAAGGGCAAAGAAAAUCGUUGUAUCUAUUUUGGAUAAUAUGCAUGGCAUGUUGUUCAUAUCAUCAGCCACAUCAGUAAGAUAAAACAGGAGAUGACAAGGUGCAAACGUGGGCUGCUUCACCACACACUGGAUUAUAGAUCCACAAAAACAAGCAUACAUAUAGGGAGUAUUAAGUAAUGUGCAUGGUAUGAAUAAGGAAUUUGGUUUUACAAGUAAAACUUAGAACUUACGGUUCUUACGAACAUGCAUUUUGGUAGAAACAGCAAACUAAACAGCAGUAGACGAUAGGGAGUAUGAGCAAAUUAAACAGCAGUUGAGGAUAAAGGCUUUAGAAGGACUGACUUACAUUAACAAUUAACACCGGCUUUAUAAUGCCCUUAUCCAUGUCAAGGGAAGGAUAACUCAAGAAUUUCAGCACAGAAUCUUCUUCAUAAGCAUUGCCUGUAGUCUACAUUUUGUAGAGAGUAAUUAUAGAUAUGAUAAUACUGGAAGGGAUAGAGAGGAUAAUGAAGAUAAGAUGCAGAUUGAUGCUACAUAAUCAACUACCAAUCCCUGGAAGUACAAGCGUUACAGGACAAAAUGUACUGACAAGAGCAAUGGGCUACACUUCUGCACUGGCAUUGUCUGUGUAUUCUACUUGUUGGUAAGAUUAAAUAUAGAUCUGAUCUUUUUUAGUAAAUGGUGGGCGAGGGAGAUAAGAUGCAGAAUGCUACAAAAUGAACCAAUCCCUCUUCCCAUAAUACAAGAGUGUUUUGAACACUAGUGUACUGUACAAAACGUUCUUAUAUUAUGGGACGGAGGGAGUAGCAGUUAAUGUAAGUACAGUGAUAGACCACGUUCAGUCCUUACAAGAGGACUGCAGAGCUAAACCUCUUCAAAAGCAUUGGGUUGAUUCUAAAUUUAUGUAAGAGUCCAUACGGAUCUUAUAAUGUCCACCAAAUGGACGAUUACGAGGCUAACAUGUGCAGUGAUGCUACAUAAUCAAACAGCUAUGAAAGUAAGUAUGGUCAUACAGGGCAAGAGGUACUCACAAGAGCAAUGCAGUGUGCAGUAUAGUUGCGAGAUUCUGUGGUCCCUUGAGAACGAAUGUUCUUCUGCUAACAGAUUUCGUACAAGUGAGACAUUAAGGCAAAUGCAGAAAUGUAGUUCAAAUUGUGAUGUGAUAUCAUAGACAGUACCUUACGCUGUAGCCGAGACCAAUGUGUAACAAGAUUAUUCCAGUCACCGUCAGAUAAAUGUAGCACCGGAGACUUUACAAAAAUUUCGUUCAGAGGCUUGCCAUCGAAGUGCGCUUGCCUCCAGUAGGAACGAUACUUCAUCAACGAGUGCUUGAAAAGCGCAACCAACCCUUGCUCGUCAUCACAAUCCAGUUUGCUCCUUGCCUAUUUAAAAGAAUGAAAUCUUGUGUCUUCUAUCAGCAGAAACAUAUGCAGUAAUGACCAUGAAUAACAUUAGUACAUUACUUACGCGUAAGUUGCGGAGGAAGACUGGAAAUUGUUCUGUGUCUGCGGUAUAAUCUUUCCAUGAAGGAAAGAUGCGCACAAAGUUCCUGACAACAACAUAAGCUUCGUCUUCUAAACUGGGAAGAAAUGGAGCAGGGGUCCUAUUUGCUGCAAUUGGGGCUCUCUCUGGUUCGAAAAGGGAUUUGGCAACUGGAUUUGGUGUACUCUUUGCUGGAAUGGGGGUUUUGCGUCGUACAGCUGGUGCUAUGUCAACUGGCGUAAUCAUACUGUUUGCUGCAGUUGGGGUCUGCUGAGUUGGGGCAUCAGAAAUGACCAGUGUAGUAGGGCUAGAGUCUGCUAGAGUUGGGGUAUUUUGUGGGUCAGGUGAUAUUGCAACUACACCUAAUGGGCUAUUUGAUUUAUCAGGUGCCACUACCUUUUCCAAAUACUUUGCUUGUGCUCCUCCACGAUCGGCAACCGCCCUCUUCCUUUUGAAUGUCUGAUACACAAGAACAACAUUUGAAUGGAUAAAUAUGGUAUGAUGACAGAUGGAAUAUGUACUGAAAAUGGAUAGGCAGGGCGUAUUCACAUACACGAUGUGUAAACUAAGCUAAUGGCAGUUCAACAAAGUAGAAGCAAUGCAAAGCAUCAGUUGCAAGAUAUGUGCGAGCAAUGUAACCUUGGAAAGUUAGAGCAAGUACCUUGAUGGGUGAAUAAGAUAGGGAUCUUCCUCUGACUCCUCCACUAGGGAGCUACAUUGACUUAGGUCUCCCUCUAGCUCAGAAUCACUAUUAGGAUCAUAUUCUGAGCAUGAAUCUGUAGGUGGAGAGCGUUUGCAUUGCAUUGCAUCCAGACUUGAUUUCAAUCCCUUAAUGCCAAGUUUGACAGCCAUGGCAUUGUUCUGCUUUUAUUCUUUUCAUGCGCGCAAGCUCAUAAUCAUUAUGAUGCUGUUCAGAAUCUGAGAUUCAUGAAAACAUAAAAAGUAGUCAGAUUAUCUAUGGAAUGCAUUGCGGAUUCAACUCGGAGAGUGUCUCCCUAUAAACCCCUGCAUAUGCAAAGUUCACCUCCCCAACCGUGCUGACCAGAGCACACACAGAAAUACAAACCCCUUAUGUCUCUAUAACAGGCAGGCACACAUUUCAAAACUGAAGUAGGAACAUUAGAAUCAUAUGAAAUUCGUAUUUGAACAGAUAAACUAAGCAAUUAUGAGUGGCGUAAUGUUUAGCUUCAAGGGUGGAGUGUUGGUAGUGCGACACAAAGCAAGUAGGCAGAUUGUAUUCCAUGUAAAAGAUCGAAACCUAUGUAAAAGCUGGAAAUGACACUUUCUUUCUAUACAAUGCAGUGUUCGUUACCCACACAUGAUGGAAGAGAUCACAUAGAGAAAUACUAUUCACUCAUGUCUACGGUUCCAGUAUUUAGAAACAGGGUGGUCCACCCUAAAAGAAUAUUGACAACAAAUAUGACAAGGCAAGCAUAGAUGUAGUGAAUCAAUCAUUUACUUGUGAGCUUACUAGGACAAGUAUGCAGAAUUGUAACUGCAGUAAGAGACCGUCCAAAAUCUGAAUGAAGAAGUUUGUCUAGCACUUAUUGUUUGCAACUAAUCGACGUGAAUAAUUGGAUAUUAUAUCGAAUGAGUAAGAAAGACAAGUAAAAUUGUCAACAAACCUGGCUUGCAGUAGUAAUCUGGGUCAAUGUCACUACGACCAACAAUCCAAAAUGACUAGUUUCUGUUCCGAGGGCCGGAAUUUUGAAAACCCUGUGAACUUUAGAGGUACUAAAGAUUACCGAAAUACAUCUAAACCAUUAAGUGUAGGUAGCACUGAGCACACAACAAACCCUAAUGACAGUCCUGCCUAAUGAGUAAUGAAUCAAUUAGAAAAUGGGUGAUGAGGAGUGGCUGCUGAGUGUUGAGGGCGUAUCUCAGGAUAAAUCGGGUUGGCUUGGUGGGUGCUGCACGCCUGAGCCCUGAACGGACUGGGAAGGUAGGCACGGUGGCGCGCCCGGGCAGCGGUGACGCUGUUGGGCGAGCGGCUCCUGGCCUCCUGUUAGUCCGGCGUCUCCUCCUAGAGUCAUGCCGUCCGGGGACGACAAGUCGCCGGCGAGGCAGGCGGCUGGGGGCGAGUAGAGAUCGGAAGCGCACAGCAGAACAGAGGGGAAUCGGGGCCUGGGACGACCCAAAAUCCCAGGGUGGGCCGGCCCACCGUGGGCACCCUGUAGAGAUACACACCCGAGCGGCGAACAUGCAUUUUUGAAACUAAUUUAGGAACAUUUAGCUGACCAAUUAAACAACUCUGUCUUAAUAAUAUCAUAUUCGUAUUUGAACAACUAAGCUUGUUUAGCUUGAUGGGUGGAGCAGUGUUAUUAUGACACGAAGCACGUAUUCUGAUCGUAUAGUGAUCAUAAAAGGGGGAAACUCUAAGCAUAUUUUUUCAGCAAAAGAGGGUUUCCCCUCCGAUUUCUAUUAAAGAAACCACCACGUAACCAACAUGAUCAAUUAAACCCUAAGCAUGAUCAAUUAAACCGUAUUAUGGCUGUGCCAUGGCAGAUUUGAAGCUGCAAACCGGAGAAAUGAUAUUUAGCAUCCAUUGUUUGCUUCGAACUAAGAAAUAAAUUCUAAGAGCUGAAAAGAAAGUAGAGUAACCAAGUUAAGAUCUAUUUUCUGGUUGAGAUCAAAAAGUUGAGGAGAUAUGAAGUACCACCUCUCUUGCGGCGCCUGUAGGCAUCGGGGGUGCGAUGGCUGUCGAUGGCGUUGAAGCAGAUCUGCGAUGGUAGACGGGUGCAUCGGGGGAUAAGUCACGUUGCGGUGGAAGAGAAGGUCGUGUGAGCGGCCCCGACAAAGAGGACGACGGCGCCGAUGAAGCGAGAGGACGCGAUGCAAGGCUAUUGGUCCGUCACCAUGGAUGAGAAACGUCCAUCUCUAGCAGUGGACGACGCGGUCUUGGUAGGCGCUCCGGCAUGGUGGAGGACGGUGGCGAUGGAUGUGGUGGAGGACGGCGGCGAUGGAUGGGGUGGCGGACGGAGGCUGAUGUGGGGAUGGGGUGUUCUAGCGCGGACGGUGUAUGAAUGGGAAAAUGGAGGGAGAGGUACGGGGAACCAUGUUUUUGGGACGCGCCUGUCUGAAAUAUGGGAAAGUUACGAACUUAGCCCCCGUUUAAACUUUGGACGUCUCGUCGGUUGGGGAUAGGACGGUAAUCUCGCAUCUCGCCAAUAUUUGCCCAGAGCGAUUUCGGACGAGGAGAGGGUGGUUGGCGCCCACGGUGUAUGAACGGGGCUGACAGGUAGGGCGGUUGUGUCACGUCUGAGUGAAGUUACAAACCUGCCCCUAUUGAAAAUAUUUGCCUACAUCGAUUUCGGCCGAGUCGAGUUUGUUUUGCCGCCCACCGUGUAUGAAUGGGGAAUGGAGGGAGAAACAGAGGUCUUUCGGACGAGCUUGAAUCAAAUGAGUUUUGCCGCCCAUGUUUGACGCCCACCGUGUCGGAAUGGGCUCAGAGGCGGUCGUGUCACGUCUAAUUGAAGUUACUAACCUACCCCUAUUUAGAGCAGUGGAAAUCGGGCCGAUGGAUUGUCCGUGUAAUGGGUAGACAGUAAUUUCCAUCUCCCAAACACUUGGCUUCGGGCAGCCGACGUGGGAGUGGACAUUUUGCUGCUUCUUUUGAAUUUUGGGACAAUAAGCAUCCACGUUUACCCUGGCAACUAAAUUCGAAUCCAUUUUGUAUUCCUAUAUGAAUCUUUAUAAAUCAUUCUAUGUGUUUUUAUAUAUCUUCAAAAGGACGACAAAGAUGUAUUCCACUGUCAUAUAUGAAUAUGGUUUACAAAUGCAGAUACUCGAAUUCAGAAACUAGAAUCCAGUUUAAGGUGAAUUCGAAUAUUUGGAACACUUCAUGUCCAACUCAAAUGUCACACGCAGCAUAAUGUGUACUCCCAUUUAGAUAUGUACACAAGCGAUGUAUCAAGAUUCAAAUACCGAGUCAAUCAACCAAGAAUGUACAGAACUAACAGACAUAUAAACACUUAUAGAGUAUAUGGAUCAAUAAUAUCAACUAACAUACAUAAGCCAGGCCGUUGUACUUUUUUUGCUACAACAGCAUCCUUUUUUAGCCAGCAUCUUGGCCCUUUCCGAUGCAGUUGACGGUUGACCUUGAUGAGCAGCGACCGAGGGAAUUGAACCGUGCUCGGCACAGUAGGUAACGUUGUCUAGUUACUAAAGCAUCCCUCCGUUGUUCAUCGGUAGUCAUUAUGGACCGGGGACAUGAGGGGAAUUUCCUAGGGCUGGAAUUCUGGCCACCAGAUAUUUCGACUUGAAACGCUGAGGCUCGACUGGUUGGGGUUGCCUAAUGUGCGUACCACGCACGCCACCGAAGGACACGAGCCCGGUUUUUUUUUAGGAUCAACACGAGCCAAGGUCUGGCUGGUACGCCGUUGGGUCCUACCAUUCGAGAAUAUGAAAGGAACCUUUUAAAUUGCCGAACGAAUCUAUGUGUAUUACAAUACCCGUAUUUUCCUUGCAAAUACUAAUCUCAACGUGGUAAUUGAUUUAUGACGAGUUGUUGAAUUAGAGUGAGUUUGUGAUAUAGUGAUCUCAACGUGGAUUUCACAUUUCAUGGUCCCUAGUAAGUUUUCCAAUGCAAAUUCAAAUUUAAAAGAUGAACAAUAUGGAGGUGAGAAAACUUUGUAUGUAUCAAGCAUAUGACCACACACACACACAGAGACACACACGCACGAACACAACAACAAUCCAAUAAGUAUAGUGCAUCUAUUUUUCCAAACCAUGCAUGUAUGACACAAAUUCAAAAGUACUCCUUCUAUUCCUAAAUAUUAGUCUUUUAGAGAGUUCAACAAGUGACUACAUACGGAGCAAAAUGAGUGAAUCUAGACUCUAAAAUAUGUCUAUAUACAUCCGUAUGUGCCAGUCCAUUUGAAGCCUCUAAAAAGACUAAUAGUUAGGAACGAAGGGAGUAAAAUGUAAGACAUCCAUGGUCCUCAGUUCAAUAUUUAAAAUGAACAUGAAACUGAAACAUGAAUAUUAAGUCUAGUACUACAGUAAAUGCAAAUGUUGUGUUUAGGCGGAUCUAUGAUUGUCGGGGGUCAACCCCUCGACCUUAGAUAAAAUUCUGGAGCUCUGUUUAGGGUUGUUUAGAUUAUAUUUGUCCCCACCCUCCCAACCACCGAUUGGUUGUGCACCCCCACCCCUCCUCCCCGGGAGAAUAUCAUGUGCCCCCAUACCUUAGAUGCUAUAUGCCGAUACGAGUUGCUUGGAGCUUGUAGAUCUGAGAUAUAGCAGCUCACAUGAUGUGUCUUAAUGUUUCUUUGAGAAUUGCACACAAUUUGUACAAAAACUACUUAGAUGCCCUUUGAUCCCAUAUCCAACGACCUCGAAGCUCGUAUCACCGUAGCAUCUAAGAUGAAGGAGAACAUCAUAUUCUCCUGUAUGUAAGAAUAUCAUGUGCUACCACACCUUAGAUGCUUUGGGGAUACAAGCUCUUCGGAGGCGUUGGAUUUGUGACCCAACACCUCCUCGGUGGUUCAAAUGGUUUUUUGCAAAAAAGCCCCAAAAGAGUUCGGCCACUGCUUACAAGCACAAAGACUGCUCAGAUGCCAUUGGAUCUCAAAUCAAAUGACCUCCAAGCUCGUAUCACCGUAGCAUCCAAGCUGCGAUAGCACCUUAUGUUUUCUCGCACGGGAGAGUAUGAGGUGCUCCCGCACCGUAGAUUCUAUGGUGAUACGAGUUCACUGAGAUCUAACGGCCCACAGUAGGAGGUUUGAAUGUUUUUGCAAUAUACGGCUGAUAGAGUUUGGGAAAUGCGUAGAAAGUACAAGUACUACGCAUGUGCCAUGUGAUCACUGAUCAUACGACCUAGAUGCUCAUAUCACCGUAGUGGGUAAUUAAGCUACGGGGAGCACCUAAUAUGAGCACCGGGGAGCCGUUGGAUCGAAGAUGCAGCGGCACACACGAGGCCUGAAUGUUUUAUUUGCAAAAAAAACCUUUGGAGAGUUUGGAAAUUGCGCAUAAUUACAAAGACUACUCCCAAGCCAUUGGAUCUCACUUCCAACGGUGUAAAAACUCGUAUCACCAUAGUAUCUAAGCUGCGGGGUGGAUGUGAUAUUCUAUGCCGCUGUCAUUUUUUUCGUAAACUUGCAAAAUACGUGUAACUCGUGCCGUUACUUGUCUAACCGCGCAAAGUGUUUGUUUAAAAAAACCAUCCUACACUGAAAUAUCGGAACAACACAGGGGGUCCCACUUGUCAUUAAUCAAAUUUGGACCUAAAACUAACAAAUCUGAAAGACGAGAUUCGAACUGGCAACAUGGACUACAAAGCGUAAGUCGAUAGCCUGAAAAAACGAACGGUUGUUGGCUUUGUCCCAUAACUUGAUUUUAUACAGUACUUGCGUUGAGUAGAGUAGAGGGAGUGCCUCGUCAACACGUGCAUGACCGUUGUCUCACUUACUGGUGGGUCCCAGGUCUGCGAUCUCAAUCUCUCUUCUCUCCAUCGUCUAACCUUUGCACGGGCACACACGAAGAGCGGCGCUAGCUUGCCGUGGUGUUAUUACAACUAAAAAAAGCUUGGAAAAUAGAAGAAUCGCCUAGAACAAGAGACGUCGUGGCUGGUCGAGACGGAGCUAACCACAUCUAUCCUCCGUGCCACGUUUGCAUGAUGAAGCUGUGUGGCUAGUGGGGUGUUUUCGACCGACUGGCUGGGUCCCGAGGUCGAACCAUAGGUACUACGUCUGAUACAGUAUAUUUUUACACGCACAUUUUUCCUCCGUGCCGAGACGUGGCACACCCUACCGCGCGGUUUCGGGGUCCUCCCGGGUGGUGCACGCAUAUAUUCUUCCUGACGUGGGAUGCCCUACCGCGCGUUUUCUGGGUCCUCCUCGGUCGUAGCGUCGAAGCAAGUAAAUGAGUCGUCAAAUCACGAAAGACCACCUUUCCCGCCGAGUACAUCAGUGAAGCACGGUAACUAGCUAGUUGGGCUAGUUCGACCGAUUAGCUAGGCCGCCGCCACAUUUGUUUUUUCACCCUUUUUUUAUCUACUUGCCGGCAGGUAAAUUUAAAUAUCCACCGCGGCGUUGCUCUGGUGUUUGGGUGCGGCAGGAUUUUUAAUUUUUUGAUUGAUGGGAGCAGGCGCGGCAGGAUUUUUAAUUUUUUGAUUGACGGGAGCAGGCGCGGCAUCAAUUAGUCACGAUGACUCCGCCUAUAAAAACCCACUGCUCCCUGAUGUGAGAAGUCGUCGACUGGUGUUUUACCGUGGUGAAAACCAAAAGAUUCCCCGCUCCCUCCGCCUUCCCGUAGAUUGCAUUGCCUUUCAGCCGUUUCGCCCCCUUUGCUUCCUCUCCCCAUUGCUUCUACCUGGUGCCAUGGCAGCGCAGCAGAUCACGGAGUCCGAGGUGAGGCGCCUGACACAGGAGCUCCAUGCCAAGGAUGCAGAGCUCAGGGCCAAGGACGUGGAGCUCCGUGAGCUCAAGGAGGAGAGGAGUGCCAUGCUCCUCGUUAUGUGCGGGAGUUCACGGAGCUUCCAAAAGCGGCUGGCGUCCACCACAAAGAUGCUCGAGGCGUCGGCGGCGUUGCUGCAGAAAGCGGGAGAUACGAUAGGCCGUCAGGGGAGCCGGUUGGAGCGCGAGCGGGUCGAUCGUGACAAGGUCCAGGAUCGCCUCAGCCACUUGGUGAACCAAGUUGCCACGCACGUGUUGCGGCUGCACGAUGCCUACCGUCGUGCCAGCGCGACGAUGCCGGCCGUCGGGCUAAACCCGUUCGACCACCCGGUCGACUUCAACGAGCUGCGGUUUCCUGACCUGGUCUCCUUCUUCACCUAUAUCUCCGAGGAGCCGAGCCGUCUCCGCACGAUGGUGGGGGCUGAGCUGGACAAGGAGGGGUUGCGGGCUGCCGUCGCCGUUGCCGGGCGAAUCCUUUCAGGGCUCCGUCACCGGAAUCCAUUCGUGCCAUUGGACGCCGUCUUUGACGAGCUGGCUCCCGUCGACCGGGAGCGGGCUCUGCGGGUGGUUGCACCCUGCAUCACCAAUGUCGUGCGCCUUGAGAAGCAGAGGGACUUCGGUGGUGUUUAGGCGCCCUCUGCAUGGGCAUGUCCAUGUCUCGGCGGAACAUGACUAUUGGAUCAAACUCAGACGGUGCAGAUCAGUCACUGUAGCACAAAGCGUGUGGGUGUGUUUGGUUGCAUUCUCAUCUCAAUAUAGUUGUUUCCUCUUCAUGUAUUUUUGUCAACCUACUAGUGUGGACUCAUGCACCCUUCAUGCACUCUGCCAAACACCCAAAAGUGUGUAGAGAAGGGAACUUUUGCUCCCAUCCCGUGCACCCUUCGUACACCCAGCCUAACACUAUUCGUGCUUCAUAUGGUUCAUGUUUCGUGGAGUACUGUAGCACCGUACUCUCCGUGCGCUGUGGACCUAGUUCUGUUAACAUUGAUCUCACCGUUCAUUCUCGAUCGGACAGUUGAAAAAGCGGUACUAUGUUACAUAUAGGAGUAGUUGACAUGCGCACAACAUCAUUUGUUAUCCUCAUAUCUUCCUACACUAGCAACAAGAUUGUGUAGUACUGACAUAUGAACCACUGCACAUGCCUAGUAGUAGGAGCACUGUAUAUGUUCAAGUGGCUGCCGUGUUUCGCACUCCUCCGUCGUAAGAGUGGAAACGCUUGCUGUAAUUAUUUUUUUCUUUAGAAAAACAGUGGACACGCUCUACCAUGCGGAUCCUCCUCCAGCCAUGCACUAAAUUACUCACUUCCGCCGACGUGUGGGACAGCCAGCACCUGGAUCCACCAGCCAUGCACUAAAUUACUCCGUAGUAGAGUGACGGUAGACUACCCCGAUCGAACCGCCGCAGUAAUGCCCAAUGAGCCGUCAAAUCACAAAACCCCUUCCUUUCCAGCAGUAAGUUGGACGAACGAAGCAACCAUCAUUUCACUCUUCUCUCUCAGCUUCCUCUCUUGAAGAAAACCCCCACUCACUUCGCUUCUCCCUCAUCUCGUUCCUCCUUUCACUCUUCUCUCUCAGCUUCCUCUCUUGGAUGGACGCCGGAGCACCGGCCCACAUGAUGUCUAUGGCUCUGGCCAAAACCGUCGAGGCUCAUGGUACGAUGAAGCGCAAGCACCCCGCCGAGACUACCGCAGACAAGCUCAAAACCCUCUCCCUGUCCAAGCCCCCCUCUCCGGGAUCCCUCAUUAAGCAACUCCAGGUAAUGUCUCUUGUUGACGAUCUUUUUCUCGAUCUUGAUCGUGUUUUUUCAUCUAACACGCAGUACUAGUACUGGUAGUACAACUUUCUGGGUGAUCUUGCAUGUGAUUUUAGUGUGCCAAAUGACGGUUCUAAAUUCCUCUUUUGACCAAAACAUGCGAGAGGUUGACACUGAUUUCUUAUAGAUUACUUUCAACUACUCCCUCUGUCCCAAAUUUCUUGUCUUAGAUUUGUCUAGAUACGGAUGUAUCUAAUACUAAAAUGUGACUUCAUACAUCCGUAUCUAGACAAAUCUAAGACAAGAAUUUUGGGACGGAGGGAGUACUUUAUGAACAUCAAUGCUACCUUUUAAGAGGGUAUAUUUGCCUCAGUAACUUGUGUUAUGGAUAUUGCAUGUAAUCCCUCUGCUCUCAUGCCUUUGAAGACAUGUUCUAGUGUAUUUGUUCACUCAUUUCUGUGCGUAUAUGUAGUCAUAUAUGGAGUAUAAUAUCGAAAAUCAUCUUAUAUUUCUAAACGGAGGUAGUAAUAAAAUAUGAUUUCUGUUUGAAUUAGAACCAGGUCCGCAGUGGAGAUGAAGUUCUCAAAGUCAUGCCGUGUGAACUGGAAGACCUGAUGAUGAGUUCUACUGCUGAACUAUCCAGCUGCUGUGUCCUUGUCGCCACGUGUCCUGAACUAGUGUUUUCCUGUAGCAUUGCUGUCAGGCGUGUUCUCGAGGCUGUACUUGACCACAACAAUUUCCUGGCUAUGCCUUCGAUUACGAAGGGUGUGGUUCUUGUAAAGCUUCCCAACAAAUCUGAUGCAGCCUGUCUUCAUCAUCAUGUUUAUGAGUGGAAAGACCACUCUGUUAGGUUCUCCAAGGUUGACAAGAUGGUGAUGGUGCAUGUAGACAUCUCACACGAAGUCCAUGGCCUAGUCAGUUAUGCGGGGUUCAUCCCGUAGGUCGGUGGCAAGAAAUAGUCUGCAGAGUUUAGUUAGUGCAACUUUGCUUGUCUGUAGUAAGUACUAUUGUUCAGUACUUGAUUUGUGUGUGUGAAACCUGUAUUGUUUAUUAGUACUGCCGAUUUUGGUGUGUGAACGGUCUAUGUUAAUGUCUGUCCACUCAAUUCAGUCUAUACUAUCAAGAUGCCCGUGCAUUGCACAGAACACCAAGAUGCAUUUAUUUUUUACAAAACACAUGUUGUGAUUGACCCAUGAGAGAGUAAUCUCAUGUGUAAAAACUAAUGAUAUCUUGAGAAAGAGGAGAGAUAAGGUGAGGAGGAGUGGGGCAUGGUGGUGAUUGGUGGUCAGACUGAGCGGAGGCAUCGGGAUGGACGACGCUGGCAGCGGCCAUCAUGCCAGAUUGUUCGAGAGGCUUUUUUUUAAUUGCUCAACAAUGAGGUUGUGGGAGAUAAGGAUGAACGAGGAAAGACCUUAUUUGCAAAUGUGAAGAGAGGUGCAAGUAUCUUUUUGCAAAAUUAUCAUAGUUUGUUUUCUAUCCGUCAGAUAUAGAUCAGACGGUCUAUAUUGCAAGAUGGCAGGCACACCAUCAUCACCAACUCGGGUUUUUAUAAGAUUUUGAAGUAUCCAGAUCAUACUUUUUGUGAUGACGGUUUAUCAAUUAUGGUUACACUCCAAUAUCUGUAUGCAUUGCAGGGUUUAUCGCACCCACCAGGAUUUCCAGUCCCAUGGAUGUUCGGUCCAUACGAUUUGUCACGACCUUUGGACUGUCCUGCUUGUGGGAGUAGGCGGGGCCCCUGCAUGCCACGCGUAGUUGGACGAUCAAUCUUCUGUUUAGUACUUCAACAUAGUGAUUUCCUGGUAAGGAUUCACUUGCGUCACAUCAAGUAAAUCUUAUUGAUUUACUGUCUAAAUCUUAUAGAUUUAAUGUCAUAUUUUCUUUCUUUUCCUGCAAUUUUACGAUGCAGGUUUUGCCAUGUGACAUUCAUCAUAGAAUAAACCGUUUGGUUUGCUCUACGAUGGCUAUUUUUGCAGGUUUCACUUCUUAUGUCGUGUCAGUAAUGAAGGCACUGUCCAUCACUUAUAUUACUGGAAAAAACUGGAUCAGUCUGUUGUCUGAGUACAAGCUGAAUCCCUAUGAUGAACUGCAGUUUGGUUUAACAAAAACACCACAAUUAGUCUUUCUCGCGUUUAAAAGAAAUGAAGAAAAAAACUGGAUCACGGUCACGGAUCCUAGUCAAGUUAGAAAGCUGAUCAUAGCAGACCAGACACGAUCGCCACUGUCUCGCACAGAUCGAGCACCGGCAGUUGCUCUAGCACGGACAGCGGCAGCAGCUCAGCCUGAUCCAGCUGAGGAUUGGGCACCGACCGCGUCAGCGGAUCAGUCUGAUCUACCGGAGGAUCGGGCAUCGACACCGGCACCAGCUCUAUAAGCAGCACCAUCUCCGGCAGCAGCGGCGGCUCCGGCACCUGCACCAACACUUGCACUUGCAUCUGCUCCGGCCCGUGCAGUUGCACCGGCAACAGACUGAGCUGCAGUUCGCACUUCAUAUACCAAAGUCCUUACAAAAACCAACAUGUCCACCUUCUUGGUAAGCAUUGGCCGCCCAAGUGCUUCGUUCUUUUUUCUUUCCAUGUUGUUUCACAUGAUUCACUGUGUUGAUCUAACUGUUUGGGUAUGUCUUCUUGUUUGCAAACAGAGAAUUCCUAGAGCAACGAGGGACUCGUUCAACAAUCUGGGCGACCGCGGCCAAGUUUCUCUUACCAUGCGCAGCCUUGGUGUGAAUGAACCUGCUCAAUAUACCGUAAUUACAAAGGAUGGUCGCAUGAUGAUUGAUGCUAAAGGAUGGUCAAGGUUCAAAUCUAAAUCAUAUCUUGCGGUAGGGGAUGAUGUCAAAAUCAAACUUUCUCGGCAAGGAGAGCUAGUCCAAAUCAACUUUGAAAUUCUUCAGUAGCAGCAUGCAACUGCCGAACUGAUCUAUCCUCCAAGAGAUUUUGAUGUAAUAAUCUGGCAUGGUGAAACAAUUGUCUUGUGUGUAUAAGUAGUACGACAGUAUUAUUUAUCACAUGGUAUAUCGUUGAUAGAAUUGCAACUCUGAUUGCUGGUUAGGAACUGUCGUUCGAUUUCAUUCCAACAGCUGUCGUGCUUUAUUCAAUUUUCUGUAUUCGCCUUGCGACAGCAUCUAAACCCAGCGCCGUACCGAUCGCUUGCAAUAUGAAAAGCGCUGAGGUAGAACACAUGGGCCCCCAAACAUGCAGGGUCGGCCUGCGGCCCAAAGUCCAGAACCGUGAGCCUAUCUGAGUAUUAUAUUCUCAGCUGAACCCCCAUAAAAAAAGCUGAACCCCCAUAAUGCCCGUGCGUUGCAGAGGGAGUAUAUUUCUCGGCAAGGUGAGCCUGUGAUAUAAAAGAUUUGUAUAUUUCUUUACAGAGGGAGUAUCUCUCUGUCAAAAUAUAUAUUUAUGUGUAACUAGUUACUCAUGUCUUUCUACUUCCUUUCGCUGAUAUGUGGGGCAAUCGGCAACGGGGUCCACGUGCCAUAUGCACAAAUUAGAGUGCACAACUUCACGGUAGAAACACCCCGGUCGUAGCGCCGCAGUAAUGCCCAAUGAGCCAUCAAAUCACAACCCCCCUUUCCAACUUUAGCAGUAAGCUAGACGGACGAAGCGGCAAUAUUUCACUGGGCCUGAAUCCCCUUCUCCCUCGUCUGCUUGUUCAGAGAAAACCCCCUCUCGGCGAUUGCAUAGGGUUUUCUCAUGGAGAACCAGGUACGAAUUCUUCAUCCAUCCCCGAUAAAUCCAAGUCCCUUGGUCGCAGGUAAUCCUAGGAUGGCAGCCGCCGCCGUUGAUGCAUUUUUCUUCUUACUGAAUCUAGUGUGUUUCAUUUGCAGUGCCCAAAGUGCGAGUACCCUACAGGUUUCUGCGCCCUCGGCGAGACGCCACACUUGUUCCUUCUCAUCCUAACACAGCAUUUUGAAACGCGCACGUUAUGUUCCUAGAAUCCUCUUUUCUAUCCGGGAGGGUGGGGUUUUUUUGAACAUGAUGUGUUCUCAUAUUAUUUUUCCUGUAGUGUAUUAUUUGCUCUGCCAGAACACAUGUACUCAAGAUGCUCGGCCUUGCCAUAACUGAAUACACUAGUUUAAUGGUCACAGUGAAGACAAGCCAUGGAUAUAAGUUCCGAGUUGGGUUCAUGAACCAAGAAGAUCGCUGCUUUUUUUAUGGCCGAACUUGGAUAAACUUUCUCAAGUUUUACGGACUGAAAGUUGGCGCACGAAUGUUGAUGGAAAUAGCAGAACCUGGUCUCAUCUUCACUGCGAUCUUCCACCCCGACGUCGUUCCAAUUGUUCAUCCAUGUUAGUUUUGUAUCUGGUUCUUGCUUGUUGCCUCGAUUACUUCUUAAUCCACCUAUUCUGUCUAACUAAUCACAAUUUAACUUUAGAAGUAGAAACGAAUCUCUCACGAAGAUGCUACUUCUAACUAAUAUUUUCUUAUAAUUGGUGGCACGUGUAGGUUUUUUCAGAGUUAAGCAGUCUGCUCGUUUGUUACUCUGUAAUAACUCGGCUGUUACUAAUGGCACUGAAGUUGACUGGAUCGACAUCCACAAGUUCCUACACUUUAUUGAUCGUCUUGAGGUCCUUGUGGGGCGUUUCAAUGGUGGAAGGCCACGUGGGAUAUGUGUGCCACUGCUGCACUCGUUGAACAGGUCCAACUGUGUCGAGAAACUUAUGGUACGAGUUGUUUUCUGUUAUAUAUGUUGUUCAUAAACUAUUUCUUAUACACAGUUUUACAGUUGUGAUCUUCUUGAAACAGGAACUGCCGAGUUCUAUUGUUCCUAUACAGAUGCCUGACCAUGGUCGGGUCAGACUUGCGCUUGGUCACAACAUGAUGUUUAUGUCGACCUACUCAAUUCCCCUUGGAGGUGAAAAGAUACUUAUUCAUGGGUGGUCUCAAAUAAUGAAGGCCCGUCCAUCUUGGAGAAUAGGACAGAAGAUUAUGUUCAUGCUUUUCCAUGGCUCUAAAGCGAAUAUCCUGUUUAUUGACCACGUUGCUUUCAGCUUUGGUUGUUAAGUGCCCCUGCUGGUUUCAGUUAAGGUUGUUAAGUACUCCUGCUGCUUUUACAGUCUAUUGUGUUUCUUCAGUCCUGUCUUCCUCCAGCCGCCAAAACCAAACCAGCGCCGGCGGGGCCGCCUGCUUCCGCCUCCCACGGCUGGCUGCGCCUCAGCGCACGCAUCGCCGCCCCACCGUCUCCUAAAUCGUUAACGCCGAUGUCCUCCGCGCGCUUUGGUGCGCUCGCUGUGGCGCCGCCCUCUCGCGUUGUCAACAUGGUCAACAAGCAACAGGAAUCGGCAGAAGUACGUGGAGAGGAUGACAGUAGGGGCCCACCACAUCAGCGUAUGGAAAAAUAAAAUGCUUCCUCCUAGUGUUUUCCUGACAUCUGGGACCCACGACAUUGUGAGCGUAUAUAGUCAAUAGACAAGAGAACAGCAUAAGAUCGGCUGACACCUGGGACGUAGCUACUCGAGCAGUAAUUUUUUUGUUUGGUAUUGUUGAGACGGAGCAGGGUUUGAACUGGGCUGUGGCCCGUCUAGCCCGGGCUUAUAUUUUAUGUUCACCAUGUGACCAGCCCAGCUAUUUUUUCUUUGUGAAAAUGAGCCCAGUUUAUUUUUUCUGAAGAAUACCCAAUCCAGGCCUACUUAUUUUUCUACGCCCUGAUGGGCUGCAACUCUUUCAAGACGCCUGCAAAUCUUGAAAGUAAUAUGAAAUGGGUUGUAAAUAUAAAAAACAGAUGACAAAUUGGCAAUUACUUUAUAACUUCUGAAUUUUUUCACAUUUUCAGAUUCCUGUUUCACUGGGCAUUAACCUAAUUUAAAUAUAUCUUCAAAGUACUUUAAAUCUGGCUCGGCAUUUCGGUAUUAAAAAUAGUUUGGAACCCAUAGAAAUAUGUGAAAUUGGCCCUGGCCAACCAAAAAAACGACUCCAAUAAAUUGCAUAAGAAGUUGCCAUGAGCUAUAUAUAAAUUAUUAAAAAAAGAGGGAGUGGUCUGACUUGUGGGCCUGUUUAGUUGACGCGUAUGCAAGAUUUUUUUAGUUAUUAUAUACGUCAACAAACGAUUCUAGCAGACGUAACCGUUGGAUGUCAAUCCAACGGCCGUCGUGUUUCUUCAAUCUCUGAUCUUCUUGCUCCAGCCGCCAAAGUAGCGCCGGCGGGACCGCCUACUCCCGCCUCCCGUGGCCGGCUGUGAUGCCGCGCAGGCCUCAGCGCCCCCUACUACUCCCACCGCUGGCCAGGGCAUCCCUCUACUCACCCACACCCCAUGUUAUUCUGCGGCGACGACAGCCUCACACCGCAGCUGAACCGGUGAACCCUCGUACUCCUCUUCGCGCGGGCUUCCACUGCCGCGUCUUCCCCGGCUCCGCGUCGUCCCCUUCCUAGGCCUCGCCGUGGUGCUCUCGGCGCGGCGUGGUCAAUGUGGUCAACGACCGACUUCCAUCGGAAGAGUACUGUACGUGGAGAGGCUGACAGCUGGGUCCACGGCAGCCGCAAGGAAGUGCCUCCUUAUUACGCGGAAAAUAAUUAUUCCUCCACCUGUCAGCAGGGACCCACCGGACGGGCCACCAGUAUUUCGCGAAAAAAAACGUUUCCCCCUGACUGCUGGGACCCACAGGACGGGCCACCGUAUUUCACGAAAAAAACGUUCCCCCCGCUGUCAGCUCGGACCCACCGGAAGUGCCUCCUUAUUACGCACAAAAAAAUGAAUACCCCCUGCUAGCUGGGACCCACCUUGGUGGGAGGCUGACUUGUGGGCCUACUAAGUUGACUGGGACGGAGGCCUUUGUCAACUUUAGUCAAUGUAUGAACGAUUCUAGCUCCAGUGACCGUACGAUGUCCAUCCAACGGCCGUAGUGCUUCUUCAACCUCUGGUCUUCUUGCUCCAGCCGCCGAAAGCAGCGCCGGUCGUGCCGCCUGCUCCUGCCGCCCGUGGCCGGCUGUGAUGCCGCGGAGGCCUCACCGCCCCCUACUACUCCCACCGCUGGCCAGGCCAUCCCUCUACGCACCCACACCCCCUGAUAUUCUGCGGCGACGGCAGCCUCACACCGCAGCCGAACGAGUGAACCCUCAUACUCCUCUACGCGUGGGCAUCCACUGCCGCGUCUUCCCCGGCUCCGCAUCGUCCCCUGGUGCUCUCGGCGCGGCGUGGUCAACAUGGUCAAGGAAUGGCUUCCAUCGGACGUGGACUGUACGUGGAGAGGCUGACAGCUGGGUCCACGGCCGCUGCAAGGAAGUGUCUCCUUAUUACGCGCAAAAUAAUUAUUCCUCCACCUGACAGCGGGGACCCACCGGACGGGCCACCGUAUUUCACGAAAAAAACGUUUCCCCCUGACUCCUGGGACCCACCAGCUACAUCUUCGCACGCAAGGAAGUGCGUCCAAAAAAACGAUUCGCCCCCCUGACUGCUGGGACCCACCAGCUACAUCUUCGCACGCAAGGAAGUGCGUCCAGGCAAAAAAAAUGAUUCCCCCCUGACUGCCAGGACCCAGCAGCUACACCUUCGCACGCAAGGAAGUGCGUCCGGGCAAAACAAAACGAUUCGCCCCCCUGACUGCUGGGACCCACCAGCUACAUCUUCGCAGGCAAGGAAGUGCCUGACAGUCGGGACCCACAUGGUCGAAGCGUACAUAGCGUUGUCAUUCUGGUCGCGAACGUGUACGUACAUAUAUACUGGUUGAUGUAGAGGCGCGCACGUGUCGUAGUAGAGGCGCGUACGUGUCGUAGUAGAGGCGCGCACGUAGCAUGUACACGUACGUACAGCGGCCAGGGUGCAAGAAAGAAAAUACGGCCACGUACGUACAUACGGGCAGGGUCUCGAACGCCUACUCGCGCAUACGUACGGCCAGGGCUCGUGUACAUGGCUGGGUCGGAACGGAGAAACAACGUCGUCGUCGUGUUCAUGGGGAGGCAACGGAAUGCGUCGUGUUCAUGGGGAGGCAACGGAAUGCGUCGUGUUCAUCGGGAGGCAACGGAACGCGUGGGAGCCAACCGGCUGGGUCGGAACGGAAUGCGUGGUCGUGUUCAUCGGGAGGGCUUGGAUGGAACAGGCGAUGGAAACGAGGCCUGGCGUACCGCAAAACGGAGGAAACGGCCUUGUGUUCGACUGGCCACGUUCGAAACAGGAUCCUGUUCAUCGGGAGGGGUCUGACGUACCGCAAAACGGAGGAAACGGACCUCCUACGGUCGAAACGGGGGUCCUGUUGAUCGAGAGGGGUGUGGCGUACCGCAAAACGGAGGAAACGGACUUGUGUUGGAGCGCUACGGUCGAAACGGGGGUCCUGUUGAUCGGGAGGGGUGUGGCGUACCGCAAAACGGGACUCCACGGGAUACUGUUCAUCUCCACCGUCGACCUCCUCCAGCCUCCACGGGCUACCGUCAACCGCCUCCAGCCUCCACGGGCUCCUGUUCAUCCAGCCUCCACCGCGCGCUACUCCACCGGCUACGGUUCAACCAUCCCUCCACGGGCACCCCUCCACCGUCUAUUGUUCAUCCAGCCCUCCACACCACGGGGUCCUGUCCAACCACCCAUCCACGGGCACCCCUCCAUCGUCUACUGUUCAUCCAGCCUUCCACACCACGGGGUCCUGUUCAACCACCCCUCCACCGUCUACUAUUCAUCCAGUCCUUCACACCACGGGGUCCUGUUCAUCCAGAGGCAACGCCACCGCUUACUGUUCAUCCNNNNNNNNNNNNNNNNNNNNNNNNNNNNNNNNNNNNNNNNNNNNNNNNNNNNNNNNNNNNNNNNNNNNNNNNNNNNNNNNNNNNNNNNNNNNNNNNNNNNNNNNNNNNNNNNNNNNNNNNNNNNNNNNNNNNNNNNNNNNNNNNNNNNNNNNNNNNNNNNNNNNNNNNNNNNNNNNNNNNNNNNNNNNNNNNNNNNNNNNNNNNNNNNNNNNNNNNNNNNNNNNNNNNNNNNNNNNNNNNNNNNNNNNNNNNNNNNNNNNNNNNNNNNNNNNNNNNNNNNNNNNNNNNNNNNNNNNNCAACGCUCACUGUUCAUCCAAUCGAUCGACUUCAGUUAGCAGCAGUAGCGAAGGAAUCGCUCGAUCGGGUUCAGUUAACAGUCAUCGAUCGAUCGCUCGGGUUCAGUAAUGCGUAGCCUGCAGUGCAAUCGCUCGGGUUCAGUUAGAGCCCAACGCCUCGCUCGGGUUCAGUUAGAGCCAACGCCUCGCACACACGCGCGUACGUGUACGAGAGAAACGCGCAUCGCUCGGCCCCCGACCUCCCACCGUAACCGGGAACUCCCCGAAAUUGUCCUCCCCCUCGCUUCUACCACGCUUUUUUCCGUCAUGGACGGCCCAAAGAAUGUCAUGCAGCUGCGUCUCCGGCCCGCCCAGGACGAAAAGCCCAUUUUCUGUCAUGAUUUUUUGUCAUGGAAGUAGGAGCCCACCACAUCUAUGAUGAUACCGGGUUUUGUCACAAUUAUCGUCAUAGAAGUGUCAUAUGUAUGGCAGAAACAAAUUUCGUUCGGCCCAAAAUGUCACGGACGUGUCUUUUCUUUGUAGUGCAAGCCAGAAUGUGCUUGCUGCUGUUGACUUUGAUCUGAAGUUCACAUAUGUGUUGGCUGGCUGGGAGGGGUCAGCGCAUGAUGCUAACAUUCUCACUGACAGCAUGAGUCGACCUGAUAGGAUCAACAUCCCCGACGGCAAGUUCUACCUUGGAGAUGCUGGCUAUGCAUGUCGGCCGGGUAUUCUUCCGCCCUUCAGGAAAACAAGGUACCAUCUCAACGAGUUCUCUGGUAGGAACUAUCCUAGGACUGCAGAGGAGCUGUUUAAUCUCAGACACUCCAGCCUUAGAGUAACUGUUGAGAGGGCAUUUGGAGCUCUGAAGAAUAGGUUUAAGAUCCUGGAUCAGAAGCCAUUCCACCCAUACUCCACUCAGGUUAAGCUAGUUCUUGCUUGUUGCAUUCUGCAUAACUGGAUCCUCCAGUGGGGCUUUGAUGAACACGUGCCUGAGGAGGAAGAUGUCGAGCCUGACGAUGUUGUUAGCUCCGGCCAUGGUGUGGAGGCAUUUGACAAUGACGCUUGGAAGAACAAAAGGUUGGAGUGGGCAGAGGCGAUGUGGCUUAACAGAGGUCAGUGCAGGAUUUGAAGAAGAUGGAAGAAGAACAACAAGCAGCAGCAGCAGCAGCAGCAGAAGAAGAAGAAGAAGAAGAAGAAGAAGAAGAAGAAGAAGAAGAGAGGAAGAGAGGAAGAGGAAGAUCUGGUAGCACCUGUGAACUAUCCCCUAUUUAGCCAAUGGCUCUUAAUAAUUUGAACUGUCAUUUGAUAGUAGUUAGGAUGAACUAUCAUUUGUUUAAGUAGAUGGCGCUACAUGUUCAGAUUAUGUGUGGUAAGCUCACCACUAGUUAGAAAUGGUGACAACACCUUAUGCAGGUUGAAACCAAACACCAUGUCAUAUGUGCGCCUAAUGCAAUGCGGGCAACCAAACGCCGGGUCGAAAAUGGCUGUCUCAUGCAACUAGGGACAUGCAGGCAACCAAACUAUGUGCAUCUGGUUUUUUGGCCUGCAUCCCCUCAAACCGGCUCAAUAGAGCCAGGCUCGCCAGGCCAGGCUGAAUCGCCAAAGAAGUUCAGAACUACCUACUAGUUCAAACUAAGGCUGCCGAGUGCCAACUCUACGUACGUGCGUACCAGCAUAGCCGGCGGCCACCGCGCGCGGCACGGAGGCGGAUCAGCAGAUGGCUGGUGAAGCGGUUCAAGAGCAACUACUGGGGCGACCCGGUGGCCAACCCUGAUAUCUUGCAGGGAUACGGGCCGCUCAUGUCCCGGAUGGACGCUGAGGACAACGAGAACUAACGCAUCCUCAGGGCGAGCAAGGAGUGGCGCGCGUGUGGGUGCCCUGACAACGCUGAGACAACCUAGGACUGAAUCACCGACACAAGAGCCCUGCCGGCGGAAGAAGCUACUCCCUCCGUCCCAUAAUAUAAAAAUGUUUUUAACACUACACUCUCGCCGCCGUUUGAACGAUGGCCGUCGCGUCGUUGCACGUCUGUGUGCAGCAGACUCUCUCUCUCAAUGUAGCUACAUGCAAAUUACUCUUUUCUCUUUUCCUAUAAUUUUUCUACAUUUUUCUAUUUUUAUGUAUUCUGUGAUAUUUCUUAAUGUACUAUAUAUAGUGAUCCAAUUUGAUAUUAUCCCUUGUGUUGCAUGGAGCUGCCUAAAUUUUGAUCUUUCUAGGAAUCUGAGCUAUGACGUGUGGCAAUAUAACCAUGAUCACCUUGCAUCGAUUGCAGAUUUACAGUGGUACUCUCAUUUAUAAACUUAGAGUAUGGUUAGGUUAGUCAUAGUGGAGAGUAACUUAGACUAGUAACAUGCAUAUAUUACUAGUCUAUGUUACUAUCUUCAUAGUGGUUAAUGUCAUAGGUGUGGUAACAUAUAUGCCUUCAUUUAUUAUUUUAUAAACUUAUUUUACAUUGGAAAGCGCUAUGUGAUGGUAACAUAUUAUGUUACUUUUCCAGCAAAAAAAAGCAUAUUAUGUUACUCUAUUUGCCUCUCUCCUUAUUGAUUACUUGACACAUCAUCAUUUUUGCUUAUGUGGCAUCUAUGUUAUUAUUUAUGUUACUUCAUUAUGACCAGCCUUAGUAGCAUAGCCAGCUGCUAGCUAUAUGAUCUUACUACAUCGUUUAUAGCCGAGGUUAUAACCGACAAGUACAAUAAUGGCAUCGCCAUCGGUGCCAUCUCCACUGCGCAACACCACCAUGGCAUUCUCCUUCCAUGUAUCGAUGAUGGCUUGUAGCUUGACCCUCUUUUUAUGUUUACCAUCUUUAUCUUUGAGUAGUUGUACUAGUUCUUCGGGAUAAGUUUUUUUUUUGAUAAAAAGAAAUCCCUCUCCGAAUUUUAUUAAAAGAAACCAUAUUGUCUUACAACUACUAGGAACAAAUGGGAAGUAAACAAGGCAUGAUCUGCCUGAACAUCAUCAGCUAGCCUCAUCUGUCCGCACAGACCACAAGUCGAUAACCCACACAGUUUUUAGACUCCAGACUGCAUCAUCCUGGGAGUCCACAGGCCGGUUCUCCAGAAGACGGUUAAGCAGACAAAUUCAAACAAGCAUAAAGCAUAAUACUACUCCAGAAAGAGGUAGACAGCCACACGGUCCAGUAUGUUCUUCUAGAAAGAGAUAAAUAGACCAUAGUUCUCGGAGAUAUAGAUGAACUCUUUUAGGAUUACAAUGAAACUCCUUUAAGCAAUCUAGAAUAUUUGUUUAUGUUCAAGUUAAUAGCCUUUAUGAGUGUUGUGAGGAGCGUUCACGCAACAUUAUCGCUUUGAUUGGCCAUGGAGCAUAUAACUACUGCUGUUUAGGUUAGGAUAUUGAGGUAAUUCAAGGUGACACUAAACUCCUAUCUUCCUUGCCUUUACAAUCGGUGGGGAAUUGCUGCAGCCGUCUUUGGAUUUUGCUGGAACUAGCAGUGGAGGAUGUUGGAAGCACAACGAGACUUUUUUGCUAACGGAGACAUUUUUGCUACAACCGCGAUCGUCGAAGCUGAACAAGCAAACGUGGGUGUUGAAAAUGGCGAUCCAUGAUGGUGUGGCAUUUUUUGCACGACCGACGAUGGAUUUUUGCUACAAACCGUUGGAUCCAGCACAUGUAGAUGGUGGAGGCAGGGUCACGGGGUGCUGCAAUCGGCAUCCACCGACAUCGGAGAGGACGUGUGGCCUUGCUGCUGCGAGCAACCUCGUCAGUUGCUAUGGCGAGGCGUGACCCUAUGGCUAGCCUGGGGUGGACACAUGUGUUGUGUUGGAUGUGUUGUGAGGGGCUUUUUUCCGGGAGGCUUCGAGCAGCGCUGCGAGUAGCCUCGCCGGCGAUACGAGUCUAGGGCGGAUGCAGCAGCGCGGGGAAGCGAGUGGCACCAUGAACAUCAGAUUGUUCUCGCGAUGAGCGGUGGUGUGUGUUAGAAGGAAUAGAGGGGAACACGUCGUGGACGAGGGCACGCAUCGGUGUUGCCAGCACUGGGCAUGCGUAGAUGAACGAAAUUGAUGUUGACUAGGCGCCGCACGCACUAGACUUGCCAAGCCCGGGGACACGUCGUGAACAAAGGUAUGCGUCGGUGUUGCCGGCACCGGGCAUGCGUAGACGGACCAGCAUGAGUUGUGCGGCAUGUCGUUGCAGCUAGCAAAGAAGGACUCGAUGACGGUUGUAGCGCCUGCGUGAGGUCGAUGACGCCUGCGGUGGUAGGAGUAGAUGAAGUGGUCGAGGAAGAUGACAACAACGUUGGCGAUGAGCUUGUGCUGGCCGAAGACGAAGAGGUGGAUGGCGGCGGCGCCGCCGGAAGAAGCGUGGCGACGAUGGCCUGAUGGCGGCUGCAACUAGGUUAGGAGCGCGACGGUGGUGCUUGAAGUAGGAACCCGACAGCGUGACGAAGACCAGCGCGGAUGCUAGCGUUCCCGCGCCUAGGGAGACGGCGCGGCAUAUACCACAUAGAAGUCGACGCGCCGGGACAGCGAAGUGGACCGCGUGCUGCGACACUACAGCCCAAAGGGGCGAUGCAACGGUGAUAUGUUUCUCGAUCGGUGAAGGGGCGCGCUGUACUUGGGGACGACCUUCACGGGACCUGCGAAGGUGCGUCAAACCGACUGAUCGGGUCGGUCGCACGGCGCGGAUGGAGCAGAUCGUGGGCAGGCGGGUUCCUACUUCAAGCAACUUGCCAAAAAGUUGUGUAGUCAUUUGACUGCACAGCUCAUGCAUGGCUUCGCCACUGAGGACAAGUAUAUAUGAAAUAUAAAAUUUAGAGGGCAAGACGCCUUAGAAACGACUAGCUGAGUGCCCGUAUGUUGCCACGGAAUAUCACAUUUUUCUUCUUCGACGCCCAGUAUGCUAUCCAUCUCUUAAUAUAACCCCUUCAUGUAGAAAUACAAUGUGUAUUGUCCCUUCUUUCCUCACCCUUGUAUGUGCUUGGAAUUUUCCGCAACUCCAUCUAUGAUGUGUCGCUCAUCAUUUCCUAUAUAAGAUAAGUUGUCAGGAUUGUAACUAUAAAAUGCACCUUUUCCUUCUUCAUUGCUCCAACUAUCCACCCCUCACCUCUACCACUCCCACUGUAUUGCAAAAAUGUAAUAGCAAAGAGAAGUUUCUUGUAGUAAAUUUUUAAACAUGGACUAUAUUUUUCAUUUACAGAACCGCAACUAUUGCAAAAUUAUUCUAACUACAAAUUCUACAUCAUCAUUUUCACAUCGUAUACUACAACAUGUUAAAUGAACGUUAAUCUUGAGAAGACUCGGCAGGCAACCUAUAAUUAUUUUCGACAAGCACUACUUUUUUCUGCAACUCCAUCUAUGAUGUGUCAUCGCUUCGCUCAACACUGCCUAUAUAAAAUAAGUUGUGAGGAUAGUAACUACAAAAUGCACCAUUUCCUUCUCUAUUGCUCCAACUAUCCACCCCCCCCCCACCCCCCACCCCCCAUUGCAUAAAUGUAUCUGCAGCCAUCAAUUUUCUGUAGUAAAAUUCAAAACAUAUAAUACAUUUUUCAUUUACAUAACUGCAACUAUUGCAAAAUGAUUUUAACUCAAAUCAUCAUUUUCACAUCAUGUAAUACAUGUUAAAUGAAGGUUAAUCUAGACAAGACUCGGCAGGCAGCCUACAUUUAUUUUCAACAAAUUAAAAUAAUUUCACUUUACAAAUUUGUCCAUAAUCCAUACACAUAUCCAUGAUCUUACUGUAGACAUGUUCAGAAUAGACUGUGUGUAUGCCAUCCAUGCUUGCUCUCCUGUCCCCAAAAUCAGUGUUGGAUCUCACAACACAUACAUAAUGUAGACUCAGAUGGUCAAACCAGAAUACUUCAUUUCUGAACUCGUGCAGUGCUGGCAACUACAUAUGGCGUCAGCCACUUGCAGAUUUGAACAGUGGCAGGCUGAAAGCUAUACACAUAACAAAAGAAACAUGAGGAACUUCUUGAACAAAUAAUAAGAGUGUGCAAAGGACUGAAGGUGCAAUGUUCAAAUACAUCGUUCCAGGUCAGCCAAAACCAAAGCCAGUUAAUUCAUUUUGUGGCAAACCAAGUCCAUUAAGUACUUACCGUAUGAGCAAAACUUCAUGCUUACAUGGAUUAAACUCCAAAUAAGAGAACUAUUGUACUCUAUAUGAGCAAGAUUUGAACGGAUGAAGUCAUGUGAAAUGGAUCACUUAUAUAAUAUAUGAAGCAUUAACUAGCAACAUGUCAAUUUAGUAUACCUCAAAGAAAUACACAUCCAGUAUGGGUGGAUGUAUCCGGAUGUUAUAGAUCCUAAACUUUUACAGUAUAUGUUGACUAUUAGGCAUGAACAGACAUUACAAACUCAAAGUUCAAUAACCGCAAAACGACGACCUCCAAAUCAUAUUACAUGGUCUUCUGUAGAGAAAAGCAAAAUGCUAAACCAAACUUCCGUAGAACAGCAUGAGGUCAGCCCAAAUAGUUGAUCCAUCAUCAUUUGAACCAUUAUAAGAAAACUUGUUGAAAACUGAAUAAUUCUAUGACGUUUGAUGCUAAAACAUAUGGAUUCUAUCAACAUAAGUCAGGUCUUUUGCACCAUCAUUGUCAAUGUGAUGUCCACCCAUUAAUGCCAUAAGAACACCAUAACUGUCUCUACCAUAACACCACUUACUGACAUCAUGCCACUUACGAUCAGAUGUUGUAGCCUCACUUCCACCGCCAUCCUUUGUUCUAUCUCACUCAUAGGUGGGCUUUUCCACCGUGAGUAGAACACAUAUGGUCGUGUAAAAUCUAGGACAAGAAGCUCCAGCGAUGUUCACAUCGUCGACGAAAGGUCAGUGGAAUUAGGAGUGGAGCAAAUGUUUCGGGGAAUCCUGUGCUAAUUGAAUUGUGGCUCAAAGAUCUUGUAUUGCUUAUGUUUCUCCCAUCUAUCUCUGACAAAAAUUAGGAUUAGAUGGGCACUUUCGCAAGUACCCGUCCUCUCUCUCUAUCUUUCUUUCUCUCCCUGCCAGAUCAAGAAGCAACGAAAAGCAAUCUCACCCUUCCUCUCACUCCCCUCAUGUCCCGUUCCUGUAGCCAAACAAGAACAUAUAUGAGAUGCACCUGACGGAGAGAAGAGUUGGAGCAACCCGCGGGAGGGGGGGAAUUCGUCCUACCACCUCGUGCCGGUGCAGAUGAAAGUCGCCACCUGCCGGGGCUCGUCGUUGGCGGCACACCGGCGGCCGAGGUUGCUGGGUUGCAUACGUGUGUAUGUGUCCCACUCCCGUCCCCUGCUCAAGGUGGAGGCCUAGCUUCCACGCAGCCGGCCACCUCCGCGACGCGCGAUCUGGUUCGACCCGCCGCCGAAGCCGAGGCCCGAGGGUGCCGUCGCGGAGAUGAGCCGGAUGAUUGACAUCUAGUAACCGACCCCAUCGAGACUGACGGAGCCACCAACGCAGGCGAGCGAAAGGGUUGGGUCUUGGGUCGAGGGACUCGUCGACCUCGAUGAAGCGGCUGACGUCGUCGGCUAGUAGCGUGAGGGACGGCGGCGGUGAAUUUUCUCGGGAGCGAUACACGGGGAUUGGGAGGAGCAAGGGGGUUGCUGGACGUGGGACGUGGGAGGUGUCCUUGUUCCGGGUCGUGGCUGCUUUUUUUUUCUUAUCGUGGCUUUUCUUGUUUCCUUUUAUCGUGGGAGGAGAGAGCGAUCGUGCGAAGGGGAGGGCGGGGAACCAGGUCGAACCAUCGAAGGAGGUUGAACCAUCACGACGUUCGAUCCUCCUUUAAUAGUAGAGAUUCCUAUAUAAUGUCGAACUAUCUCUGAAUACCAAAUAUAUUACUAACAGCAUUGACUAGUAUCGAGUCGAGGGAGGGGAGAAGGAAAAGCGACGACAACGUGGGACGGGCUCCAAUCGCAUGGCCGCAGGAAGCUGAAUCAUACUGCGCGACGACCGGCCGCAGGAAGCUGAAUCAUACUGCGCGACGACCGGCCGAGAGUUGGGCACUUGGGCUGGUCGACCGGCUCCUAGCAGCCGCCAAAAGGAAUACUACUAGCACGUGUUUUUUUUUCGAAAUUAAACUGGUAUAUGCAUUUCGUUGUUUCUUGUAUCGUACUUGGACACGCGCGUUCCGGCCGUGUCCCUGACCGAAACGACCUAAGCCUUACGAGCGACCGAGUUCAGCUCGGCUGGAAGUCCACACGUGGUUACUCUUGAAUCUCUUGACUGAUAGCUGCAUAUAUAAGUAGUCAAAAAGGAAGGCCAAUAACCGCAGCAUCGAACAGUAGAAAGAAGUUUAUAGACCUACCUGCCCGUUCAGGCUAGGGCGCUGCCGAGUGCCGACUCUACGUACGUAUACGAGCAUAGCCGCCGGCAGCUCCAGGGCGGCUACCGCUGCAUGGCGGCCAACGCGAGCGGGACGAUGACGGAUCAGCGGAUGGUAGACGGCGCGAUCCCAACGAAGAGGGCGCGUGAGCAGCCCGAGGAAAAGUUUGAGUACGUCGUCGAGAAGGACAUGGUGAGUGACCCCUAUCACCUUACCUGUUCAUCAUUAUGGCCGACAUUCUACAACAAAUAACAAAUGAUCAUUCACGCUCACAAGGAUGGUACUCUUCUACACCCCCUGUGUCCCCACCUCCCGUGCCCUGUUCUGCAAUAUGCGGACGAUACUCUAAUCAUCGUUAAAGCUACCACGAACGCAGCCAAGCACCUCAAACACAUCCUAGACGCCUUUGCCGCAGCCAGUGGCCUUCAAAUCAACUUCACCAAAACGACAAUCAUCCCCCUUAAUGUGGAUCCGCAGGAUGCCGCUCUAAUGGCCUCUGACCUUGAAACGAACAUCUCCUCCUUUCCUCAAACCUACCUAGGUCUACCCCUCUCCCCGCAUAAGCUGCCGCCCUCUGCAUUUCAGCCUAUCAUCGACCGAUGCGACACAUAUCUGGCUGGCUGGUGUGCCCUACUCCUCUCGCGUGGUGGCAAAUUAGUUCUCCUCUCUGCCGUCCUAGACAGUCUCCCCACGUAUUUUAUGCUUUGCUUUUCUCUGCCCGUCCAGGUUAUUGAAGCAAUUGAUAAACGUAGACGCACUUUCUUCUGGUCCAACGAUGAAACCUGCUCUGGAGCUAAAUGCUUGGUUGCUUGGGAUAAAGUGUGCACUCCUAGAGAUGCAGGUGGUUUGGGUGUUAAAAACCUUCGCGCACAAAAUUUUUGUUUACUGCUGAAAUUUGCUUACAAGUUUUUACACUCCACCUCCCUCCCUUGGAAGGACUGGGUUUUGUACCACUCACCUCUUCACAUUGGCUUUGGCAAGAACAGCUCCUUUCUUGCUAAGACUAUUUACAAACACCUGAAGAGCUUGAAAGAGAUUUCCCAGUGUACUGUUGGAGACGGUUGCUCCACCUUCUUCUAGUUAGAUCGAUGGCUAAAGCCAGAACCUCUGGCUAUAGUCUACCCAGCCCUUUUUUCCCACCAUACAAAUCAAAAUGCCUUGGUAGUUACAAUUGUGCAGGAAGGGAUCGAACUUGCUCUUCGUAAUCGGCUAACCACUACUGCGAUCGCAGAACUUGCUUCUCUAAACUCUUUGUUGCCGGAUUGUGCUUUCUCGCAGGUUCCGGACACUCGUCGCUUGCUCAACGGGUCCGCCUUCUCGACCCGGGGUGCAUAUGCGGCUCUCUCGGAUCAUCUCUCCGAUCCCAUGCUUGCCGCCAUCUGGGACUCAAAAGUGCCAAAAAAGGUUAUGAUCUUCGGAUGGCUCUUCUACCUCGACCGCCUCAACACCCGGAAGAACUUGCAUAAAAAAAAUCAUCCUUGAUUCUGAAGCUUGUCCAAGAUGUUCUCACCAGGUUGAAGAUCGCGAGCACCUGUUCUUUUCAUGCCCGGCUGCUCGGGGCAUUUGGCAGGCUACCUCCAUUCGCCCGUGCUUUACGCCUAUUAGUGACCUUUUCUCUACGAGGUUACCAACUGCAUUGCCAACUUCAGUCCGCUCCUUCAUGUUCCUAAUCAUCCUCUGGAAGAUCUGGGACGCACGGAACAAAAAAGUCUUCCAAGGAAUAGACCUUCCCACUGCUGAUUCCAUUAGAGCUAUUCUUGAUGACAUAACUAUAUGGGCUCCUCGGCUCAAAACCGAGAGCCUAAAGGAACACGCCGGGCUGUGGCGUGACUUCCUCUCCUCACAAAACAUGUGAGUUCUGUACUCUUCUGCUAUGUUUGAAAUAUAUUCAGGUGGGGAGCCUUUCCCCCCCGGUGACCAUUUCAAAAAAAAAUGGUGAAGCGGUUCAAGAGCAACUACUGGGCCGACCCGGCGGAACAACCCCGAUAUCUUCUUGCAGCGAUACGCUAGGGACAACAAAGCCCAUCGCCUCCUCAGGGAGAUCUAGGACGGCGCGAUCUCGACGAAGAGGGAGCGUGAGCAGCCCGACGAGGAGAACUUUGAGUACAUCGUCGAGAUGGACAUGGUGAAGCGGUUCAAGAGCAACUACUGGGGCGACCCGUCGGCCAACCCUGAUAUCUUGCAGCGAUACGGGCCGCUCUUUUCCCGGAUGGACGCCGAGGACAACGAGGCCCAUCGCCUCCUCAGGGAGAUCCGGGAGUGGCGCGCCCGUGGGUGCCCUGACGACGACACUGGGGCGACCUAGGACUGAUGCAAGAAGGCAAGAAGCUACCUCUCGUGGCCGUUUGAACGAUUACCGUCGCGUCGUUGCAUUGCGCGUCUGUCAUUUUCUCCUUUCCUAUAUUUUUGUAUUCCUUUUACAUUUUUAUGGAUGCUGUGAUAUUUCUUAAUGUACUAUAGUAAUGCAAUUUGAUAUCUCUUUACCUUGGCGUUGCAUGGAUGCUGCCUAAAUCUUGCUCUUUCUAGGAAUCUCAGCUAUGACGUGUGGCAAUAUAACCAUGAUCACCUUGCAUCGAUUGCAGAUUUGUAGUGGUACUCUCAUUUAUACACUUAAAUAAGUAUCAAGCUUAUACUUCUUAGGACAUCUCCAACGCCGACCCCAAAAUUGACACAAUACUCGUCUGCGGACGGACCCACCCGGAUACAGGGGUCGGCCAUCCAACCCUUUCUCCUAAACGACCGCCGCUAUUUUUCGAAGUCCGGAGCAUUCAAAAUAAUCGCAUGACAAAUCUUCAGUGAGUGAAAAUAUUCAAAUGUGACACUAGUUCAUCAUCGCCAUUUCAUCUGCAUACUCAUCCUCGUCGUACGAGUUGUCAGAUGACUCAACGUAGUUCUCAUACAAUGACUCCAUGUUUGAAUCCAUUGCUCCAUAGAAGCGGGAAAAAUUGUCAAAAUGUUAGCACGGCAUUUUACCAAACACUUGUCGGGUGUGGUGACCCCAUGGACUGCAUCCGCGAAGACGGAUGGUACCUGUGAGGCGGACAGACGAAAGGUAGAACAAAGGUGUAGCAGCCCGGUGGAGGGGGGGGUCCGGCAAGGGUUUGGCUAGCGACUGGAGUGAUACAACGACGGCGACACCCAGGGAGGAAGCAGAUGCAGAGCAAAGGAGAGCAAGUGGAUGGAAGGAUAUGAUUUUGGGUGGGUCGGGAGUGGCAGAGGUUUGGGCUCCCGCAAAGCCCCCUAUUUUGAUUCAGAUUUGUGGAAAAACAUAUGCGUGGACGCGUCCGCAGAUGUAUACGGGUCCGUGUUGGAUGACAAGCGGGGGAUAGGGAGAAAAAAAAGGAAACUUGAUUGAGAAGCUAUUUGUAGCAGAAAUUCAAAACGGUGCUAGGGCUCGUAUACUCGAGUUAGUCAACAUAAUUUUUGAAAAAAUAAAAAAUGUUUUAAAUAAGAGUAUGUUUGUGUCUUCUUUAGUAUAUGAAAUUUUUUAUACAUUCUUAUACACGUUUAACAUUUUGUAAAUACAUGAUUAAUAUUGUCUCAUACGUAUGUUUUGAUGUCUACUUUUUUUCAUACACGUUGUACAUUUUUCAUAUACAUUACUUUAUACAAAAUUAACAUAUUUCAAAUGCAUGAUUAACAUUUUAUCAAACACAAUGUUUUUAAUGCAAAUAAUGCCUGAAAUAGUGAACACAUUUUAAAAUUUGAAUAAAAUUUCAACAUGUGAUUUUUUUUCAAAAUCUGAACAAAAUUUGAAAAACACGAACAAAACUUUAAAACAUGAUUUAUUUAUUUUUUGGAAAAACAGGAACAAAAUUUGGAACAUGUGAAAAUUUCUGAAAACAUUGACAAAAGAGUUCGAUUCUUUUUUGAAUGGUGAACAAAAUUUGUUUUCUGGACAAUUUUUUUGAAUUGUGAACAAUUUUUUGAAAAGUGAAAUUAAUGUACGGUGAUCAUUAUUAUACAUAGUGAACAAAAUUUCAAUGUAUGGUGAAUAGUCCUUUUCAAUAUGGUGAUUUUUAUUUGAAACAUGAACAAAAUUUGAAAAACAUGAACAGUUUAUGGAAACAUGGACGGAAUUAUAAAUAUUUUCUGUAGAUUUUUUCAAAGAAAUAAAGUGUAAGAAAAAGAAAAGAAAAGAAAGGAAGAAAUAUACAGGAAAACAAAAAUGAAAGAAAAACAUGAGGAAAACCGUAAAAACCGAUAUAAAAAACAGGAAAAACCCGGUCCAAGGAACCUUCUAGAAGGUUCCCAAAUCCGGUUGUGGGGGGCGAAUAGGAUCGUGCAUUCAGCCAGACAUGUCACUGGGCCGGCCUAGUCAUACAAAGUUAAUUAAAAUAAACAGAGAAGGAAAAAUGGUGAGCUACCGAGAGCGAACCCUGGUCUCCAUGCAGACGGGAAAAUAUCUGGUGCACCGGAGCUUGUGGUGCUACCGGUGCACCGAACUCACAUUGUGCUUUUAAACUGUUUAAAAAAUUCUAAAAAAAAUUAACACACUCACAAAACAUCAAUGUAGGUUGUCACAAGAUGGUAAGUUAAAAUUCGAAACAUAGCUCGAAGAACAAAAAUGACAAAUUCAACACUGAAUAGUACAUAACAUAACUUGGGCUUUAGAUUUGGCCCAUUAUCACACUGACGUCAAAUUUGUUAUUUUUGUAUCUCAAAAUUUAUUUCAAAUUUUUAUACAUUGAAUUUUUUUAACAUGCUAGAUUUUUAAAAAUAUUCUAUGGCAUCCGGUGCACCAGUAGCACCACAAGUGCGGGUGCACCGGAUACAUUCCCCCAUGGACCCAACCAGCGCAGAUAGCCACUGGGUCCACGUCCUCUUCGAGAUAAAAAGUCGGGGCAUCACAUACUUUAGGUGACAUGAGCUCGGAUUUUUCACUGUUUUUCCUUUUUUUCUCUUUCUUUAUCAUGUUUUUUCUUUUAUUUUUUAUCUCUAGUUUUACUCUUUUUCUCCUUUCUUUCUUUUUUUGUUGUUUUUCUUCAGUUUUCUUUAUUUCUUUUUUGGUUUUAACUAGGUCUUUUUAUUUCUUUCUACUUUCUUUGUUUACUUCGGAUUUUUUCUUUUUAUUUCAUUUAUUUUAUAUUGUUUUCGGUUUGAUUUUUUUGUUUCUUUUUGNNNNNNNNNNNNNNNNNNNNNNNNNNNNNNNNNNNNNNNNNNNNNNNNNNNNNNNNNNNNNNNNNNNNNNNNNNNNNNNNNNNNNNNNNNNNNNNNNNNNNNNNNNNNNNNNNNNNNNNNNNNNNNNNNNNNNNNNNNNNNNNNNNNNNNNNNNNNNNNNNNNNNNNNNNNNNNNNNNNNNNNNNNNNNNNNNNNNNNNNNNNNNNNNNNNNNNNNNNNNNNNNNNNNNNNNNNNNNNNNNNNNNNNNNNNNNNNNNNNNNNNNNNNNNNNNNNNNNNNNNNNNNNNNNNNNNNNNNNNNNNNNNNNNNNNNNNNNNNNNNNNNNNNNNNNNNNNNNNNNNNNNNNNNNNNNNNNGCUUGAUUAACAUUUUUACUAUAUAAGAUUAAUAUUUUUUGAAUACGUGUCAACAUUUUUUUAUACACAUUUAAUAUUUUUCAAACAUUUUAUUAACAUUAUUCAAACACUUGUUCAACAUUUUUCUUAAAUGCUCGAUUAACAUUUCUGUAUAUAUAAUAUCAAUUUUUAACGUCAUUUUUAAUGCAUGGUCAAUAUUUUUUCUAUACAUAUUUAGCAUUUUGUAAAUUCUUGAUCAACAAUUUUCAAAUAUGGUUCAACUUUUUUUUCCAAAGACUUGAUUAACAUUGUUGUAUACAUGAUCAAAAAUAAUUGUCAUUUUUUUAAUACAUAAUCAACAUUUUUUAUGCACAUUUUUCGAAUACUUGAUCAUCAUUUUUCAAAUGCUUAUUCAACAUUUUUAAAAAUGCUUGAUUAACAUUCUCAUAUACAUGAUAAAAAAAUAAUCAUGUUUUGUAAUACAUGGUGAAAUGUUUUCUGUACACACUUAACAAAUUUCAAAUGCUUGAUCAACAUUAUUCAAAAACUUGAAUAACAUUUUUGAAAUACAUGAUUGAAAAUUAUACACAUUUUUUGUAUGCGUGUCAAACAUUUUCUCUCUAUACACAUUAAACAAUUUUCAAAUGCUUGGUCUACAUUUUCUAAAUAUUUUUAUAGAGUUUUUAAUAUAUAUUUAAAAUAUUUUAAAAUAUAAACAAAAGCCAAACUAAAGCAAAAACCAUACAAAAAAUGUAAACAAAAAGAGAAAAAAUGAGGGUGUGGCUCCCCGCGCUCCUAGGCCAGCCCAUCUUGUCUCCUCUUCAGCGAGGGCUCGUACCCUGUCGCUGAAGGUGAGAUAUAGGGGCGCCCUAGUCCCGCUGGCGGCGGGCAUCCUCCCUCAGAAGAGCCGAGCAGUACGACGGCGGCGAUGAAUAGAACUACCGCUAUAUUUUUUUUCCUUUGCAAUAGUGAAGAAUUCUUGACGAUAUCUAGCUGGAACAGCCUGUUCUUGAACUUAUAAUCAUGGAAUCGACUCGAUCAUCAUCAGAUUAUAAGUUCAUUCCAUAGCGAACCAGACGACGUAGUCGGGCCAUCUCACGCUACCCGUUUCCACACGGCACGCGCCAUGUCCUGUCGCCCCACGUCAACUGCCGGUGGGUGAGCGCCCUGAUCCGACCGUCCACCGCUCAUGCUCUUGUCCGCCCGGAUGCACCCACCUCAGUGCACCCCCAUUGGGCAGCCCGUCCCAUCGCCAGCCAUCCCCGUUGCCCCUAGGCAGGAAAACGAUAAAAAAAAUGAAGAAAACCGGAAAACGCAGUAAAAGAAAACAAAAACAGAAAAAAAAAACGGUUGCUCGCUUCAAGUGGGCUGGCCCGUGUAGCAAGCCGCGACAGUUGGACGCACGCGGGCCGCGAAUAAAAUCCCGCAGGGAGAGACAUAGUCGCGGCCACGGCGCGCGGGCUCCCACAAAAGAGGCAACCAGUACGACGACGCAGCCGGCCCAUCUCACACCACCCGUUUCCCCGCGGCCCGCGCCACGUCCCACCGCAUCCGCGUCAACGGCCGGUGGGUGAGCGCCCCGAUCCGACCGUCCACCGCGCUUAUCCGCGUUCGCCCAGAUGCACCCACCUCGCGCGCGCCCAUUGGGCAGCCCGUCGCGUCGCCACCCAUCCCCGUCUUUCCUACGCGGACACGUCGCGCGCCCGCACGCCGCCGGAGCCCACCACGUUCCGCUCAGUGGUCAGCCGGAACAAAAUCCCUACCCCGCACCACGCCCCCGCCCCCGUAUCCACCCACCCCCGCUGACACCCCGUCCCCCACACCCCGCCCGCACCCGAUUCCCACGAGGCCAAUCGGCGGGCGCGGCGGCCGAGAGAUCCCGAGCAGCGACAGGGGUGGGAUCUGGCCGUGUGCGCGAGGCAAAGAGUGGGUGGGAGCGCAGGCCUACUUUAUUACCCGGCGCGCACUAAUCCAGAUUUGGGGCCGUGGGUGUGUGGGUUUCGUCGCUGUGGGGCGACGUUUUAAAACGCACCGGCCCGAGCGCCUCCGCCAGGCCAACACCUGUCCUCCCCCGCUACCCCUCUCGCCGUCGCGGUCGCGCCCGCGGCCAACGACCUUCUUCCACCUCGCACCCACCCGAUCUCUCUCUCUCUCUCUCUACGUGCGCGCGCGCACCAAUCGCUCCUGGCAGCAGUAGUAGUAACUGCUCGGAUUUGCUCUUGCUAAAUUCGGCACUGCCGCCCAUACUUAAUCGAGCCCGGCCGCCUCCUGUCCUCCUGCUUAAAGCAGCUCGAGCUCGCUCGCUCGCCCGCUGCUCCCCAUCACGACUACCACGGCCGCUGUGUCUGUCAGGCUGGAGCUCGAACACCUGUAACGCCCUGACUUGUGCCUGCCUGUGUGCUUUUUGAUUCGGUUGGAUUAAUUGGCGGGAGUGAGUGAGGGGAUCGGAUCCGAUGGACUUUCCGGGAGGGAGCGGGAGGCCGCCGCCGCCGCCGCAGCAGCACCAGCACCAGCUGCUGCCGCCGAUGACGCCGCUGCCGCUCACGCGCCAGGGCUCCUCGGUCUACUCGCUCACGUUCGACGAGUUCCAGAGCGCGAUCGGCGGGCCGGGCAAGGACUUCGGAUCCAUGAACAUGGACGAGCUCCUCCGCAACAUCUGGACGGCCGAGGAGUCGCAGGCCAUCGGCGCCGGCCCCAACGCCGCCGCCUCGUCCUCCGCCGCGGCGGGGCCGGACCACGGCGGCAUCCAGCGCCAGGGCUCCCUCACGCUCCCCCGGACGCUCAGCCAGAAGACCGUCGACGAGGUCUGGCGCGACAUGAUGUUCUUCGGAGGGCCCUCCGCCUCCGCCUCCGCGGCCGCCGAGGCUCCCCCGCCGGCCCAGAGGCAGCAGACGCUCGGGGAGGUCACGCUCGAGGAGUUCCUCGUGCGCGCCGGCGUCGUGCGCGAGGACAUGCCGGGCCCGCCGCCGCCCGUCUCGCCGGCGCCCGUGGCCCAGGCGCCGCCUCCGCAGCCGCAGAUGCUGUUCCCUCAGAGCAACAUGUUUGCUCCUAUGGUGAAUCCUCUGUCCCUGGCGAAUGGGUUGAUGACCGGAGCAUACGGACAGGGAGGAGGCGGUGGUGGUGGUGCGCCCGCUAUGGUUUCGCCGUCGCCGACGGGGAGGCCGGUCAUGUCCAACGGCUACGGCAAGAUGGAAGGCCUCAACUUGUCCUCGCUGUCGCCGCCGCCGAUGCCGUAUGUUUUCAGCGGCGGGCUGAGGGGGAGGAAGCCACCGGCCAUGGAGAAGGUGGUCGAGAGGAGGCAGCGGCGGAUGAUCAAGAACCGGGAGUCUGCGGCGAGGUCGCGCCAGAGGAAACAGGUGAAAAUUUUAUUACUAUCUGAUGUGUUUGCUUGCUAGCAGUGACACGUGUUGCACAAUCAUAUAUCUUUGUCUUAACCAAAUUUUACUUCAGUAUGGCACAACAGCAGCUCUAAAAAAGGUAUUAUAGAAUACAACAAAGGAUUAAAGCUAACUUAUGUUAAAUUGACAUGGGCAUGCUAAAUUACAAAGGGUACAAACAUGAAUGAUCUCGAUUGCAUAGCCGCCGUCUUCGAAAAUGUUUGAAUCUUAGUGAGAACAAUAUCUAACACCAAUAGGUUCUCCUUGCCGUUGAGCUUCUGUAAAUCUCGGAUAAUCGAUAUUGGCUAAAUUUGUGCCUUCUGAUAUGCAACAGAGUUACAUGAUGGAAUUGGAGACUGAGGUGGCAAAACUUAAAGAGCGGAAUGAGGAGUUGCAGAGAAAACAGGUAUGAUACAUCUCCUGGCCACUUUUCUUGUUUAAUUGUAUUUGUAUUGUACUUCGGCAAUGCGCAUUCUAGCAUUCCUUUUUAUUUGUGACUAGUUGCCUUCUGGUUGAUCACCUCAAUUUAUCAGAGAAAAAUCUGGAUGAUCACUAUCUGGAUAUUUAGUUUCUAGUGAUAGGUCUUAGUCACCCUGCAGCAUUUAACAAAGUCAAAGUCAAUCAAAGAGAGAACAAAUCACAGAAUGUUUUCAACUACAAGUCUACAUACAGCAAGAGUGGUAUUUUUAUUGCAUGAUUUACUCUCAACAUUCUGUUGUGGAUUUCCACAAAACUAAAACUCAUGGUAGCAGUUAACAAAAAUAGGUUUCAGUGGCAGCUGUCGAAAUACUUCAGUGCUAAGUAUUUUGCUCCUCUAAUGGUAAAAGAUGAUCUUUUGUUUCUUCUGAUGAAUAUAAGACCUAGAUUAACUAUGGCUUGUCUGGAAUGGAUUGUUCCAUUACUAAACUAGCAGUACUUCUAAACUUUACUCUGCGUAUUAGACUGUUUCCUCUUAUUCUCUGUUCUUGCCUUGUUCAGUCUGUCACUGUUCUGUUACCAUCUUUGACGCAUGUUAUCUGAACUAGUUGGUUAUUUCUUCUAAUGUGCAGGCGGAGAUCCUAGAGAGGCAAAAGAAUGAGGUAAUUGCCUACCAUUUUGAAGAAACUGCUUUUGCUCUACUGAUACUAUUUUUUGCUUAUUUUACCAUUCAAGAGAAGACGGAACUGACCAGCCUAUGUGCGCUCUUUUGUUUAACUAGUAGCAUAUUUCGUUAGUAUAAAGGAAAACGUGUCUUGACCUAUGAUCAUGGAUACCCAUUCAGGAAGUAUUGCAAGCGACCUGUCAAUGUCAUGAAUAUAGUUUAGCUCUAUGAUGCAUGGUUUGAUUCAUCAACGAUAUUAUUAUGAAAAUCCAAGUUCUCGAAACUUGUGGUACUGAUACACUUGUUUGAAUAGGAAAUGUUAUGGUCUGAUUGACAGCUACUGAUGUAGAUGUAGAGUUCUGGUUUUCUUAUCGUAUACUUGACUUUACAAUGCCGUAUUGACAAAGUAAAGCUGUGUGAACUGCCGAAAUGAUAAGGCGAGGAUUGAUGUGGAUUUGAUUGAUAAUAUUUUCCUACAACAGGGGUUAGGUGGUAACAUUUAAGUGGCUUCAAAUGAUUUAAGAAAACCUUGAAUUGAUCGGCCAACUGCAAUGACUUUCGCUCUAAUAUUUCAUCUAUUGACCCAAGUGUUGUAUUUGUAAGGUUAGCUGUGUUCUAUUCACUUUUUUAUUUCACUAUUGCUACUAUUUGGUGUUACUUUGUUCAUCUGUAGUACCAGCUUAACAAGAUAAAAUGUUGGGAGUAAACAAAUUACACAAGUGCAGUUUUUAGACCAGAGAUUAUGUGUGUGUCGUCAACUAUAUAUGUUUUCAUCUGAUUGAAAGAGCUGUUCAAUUGUAUUUCCCCCAACAUCGCAUCUAAAGUCAUCAUUCUUUAUUAACAUUUCCCAUGAGAAAUGGUGUUUCUUUUGUGUAACAACAACAAUUUCAGCUAUUUCUUUUUUCUUCUCUUUCUUGUGGGAAAAUUUCAGCCACUUUCAUCAUGAUACCAUAUAGGACUGGUUAACAACUCCAUCGUUUUCCAGCUUUCACUGCCAGAUUGGCCAAGUUUUCGUCAAUUAAAAUUUUAGUUAGGGGCUGGUCCAGAUUGUGAGAGCUUUAGCGUUCCAUAGGGUGGUCGAUGAUGACCUUGGUUAGGGGCUGGUACUGUGCCUGGCUUGCUGUUUUUUAAGUUCAUGUACAUAUGUGUUUGUAGCUCUCUUUUCUUCUAAUAGAAUGCGCAGUGCUCCUGCUGCUCGUUCUUGAAAAGAAAAGAAAAUUAGUUACCUGCACAUUUUUUGCUGAACUUCAUUUUGAAGUUCACACAUCAUUAUCUCCAUGAUAUUAUGAGAAAUGUGUGGGCUUUCUGAUUUAGGGCAGGGACCUUCUGUCUUUCUUUUUUCAUCGAUUUUUUGUAAACUCUGCCAAGAAAAAGGUUAUGGUCUCUCACCUGUUUCUCGACCUUCAAGUUCCUUGGGGCGUAGUUUUCUUUUGUGUAUGUUGACCCACUUAGCAGUCGUACAAAGCCUUAGACUGUUAGACACUUGACCCAGGUUCCACUCUAUACAAUCAUGUUUCAUUCAUAGGGAAAAGGGUGAAACUUCUGCCAUAAUUUGGUGGUACAUGAUUACAUUUUGUUUUGCUGUUCCUAGUUAAAAGAAGUGACGGCUCCUCCAUUGUUCUGUAGGCAUUGUCAUAUGUCAUUUCUGAGAUUGCCUCGUUACAUUUCAGGAAAUAAUUUUUUGCCCUAACAUAAUUUGGAAAUGGUAUAUGCAGGUAUUCGAGAAGGUUAGCAGGCAAGCUGGACCUACCUCAAAGAGGAUCUGCCUGCGGAGGACGCUGACGGGUCCUUGGUAAGCCGAAGGCCUGUAAACUAGAGCACACUACUUUCAACGCUGCGAAGUUUAUACAUACAGUAGAUGAAUUUCAGAAUCGCCAGGAGUUGCGCUUGUAGAGCAGCCACUGAUCCGAUGCUUCAGAGUUCAGACUCCUAGGCCGAUAGACUGCCGGCGAUCUUCGCUCGAUAGGUUUUUAGCCGUCCGCGUGCCGUUCCGUGUGAGUAGAGAGCAUUUGUAUGUAAAAAUCUAUUUAACCAUGUGUUGGUGUGAUACUACAUUUUCUAUUUAUUUUUUUCUGUUUCGAGGACUCAUUACACAACCAUGUUAGAAAUGAGUUUGUAUUCUUCAUAAAAACGAUGCCCGGUCGGCUUGUAAAGCGGAACUAUUUGCGCAUCUGUAGAUGAUUUUCCUCCAUUGUGCGCAUCUUCAGAGAGUGAACUGAACUGAGCUACUUUGCAGAGUAAAGAAGAUGUGUGUCUGAUGGGCAAAUCAGACACAGCAAAGCUUCUUGUAUCUGGUAAGCACAAACCGAACUAGUUUGAUUCGAGUACUCGGCAUCAGUGGCUGCUGUAGGCUGUGUGUUUCUGGCUCCAUUACCAUGUCAAUGGAGCCAUGUAUGUAAGCUUUGUAUACAUAAACCAUGGCACUUGGUCAUGUGGAACCAGAACCAAAACGUCUGUCUGUAUAUUACGAGAACUUCCGGAUCAAUAAUGUAAAUUACAACUAUCUUUUCUGGAGGUCCAUAUGGGCUGAACGUGGGUAGGCCGGAGCCAGAAUCGUUGGGAGCAUAUUCCACCUGCUUAAGGUCCGUGCAAAGCACCGACGGGCGCGUGGUUGGCCAGGGACGUGACACGCAGGCGUGCCGCGCUAGCUUGCCUGCCCUCGUGGCCAUCCUAAUCACGUGAAUAUACAAACUGGAAACUCGCUGUCCGGACACGUGCCCCAGUGCGGCAUCCCAUGUUCUUCCCUCCCGUCAGAUCGGAAAACGCAGGUGCGUUAGCUCGGAAUCAUCGGCCCAUCAUCGAUGGCAGGGCUGAACUACCUGAUGCGGACAGCAGGCCGCUUGUACGCAAAUUGCAGGUGUACCGCGCGCCGGUGCGGGGAAUUUCACCGGGCAGUAAUGGGUUGGUUCCGUUGCGAUUCAAAUCAAAAGAGACGCAGUUAUUGGCAGGCUCGUGGUACCGCCGUGACGACCAUCAAGGCCGUGUCACCGUGCUGCCGUGAGGCUGUACCAUCCUGACACCAAUAUCCCAACCUCUGCCGUUGCACUGCAGCUCAGGAGCUCAACGGUUCUACCUCUGCCGGGCAUUUGCGCUCAGUGAGCAUCUACAACCGGACUCCAUAUCCCUUUUCCUGGGCCAACAAUCCGGAUCCGACCACUGGGAGGCGGGAGCUUGCCGCCUACUCAGACAAGAAGGAAAGAACCCUCCAAAUCAUAGUCCGUCGUUCCCUGGAGGAUACUGGAUAUCAGACCUCCGGCGUGGGAGCCAUCCUGCGACAAAUCCACCGACACUCUGGUUGGCAUCCAACGGCGACGGCGUGCCGAGCGGAAGCUCGCGCCGCAUGCCCGCACCGUCACCGUAGCCUAUGAGCGCACCUGAGCGGGUCACUGCAGAAGGCUUCGCCGCCCCGGGUCAAUGUAUCCCCAGCGUUGUGUCCUUGUCCCCGCGACGUCAGACUCGGAGUCCUAGGUCAAUGGCCGCAAUGCCCAAGGUAACAUAUGUGCCACAUGCUAUAACUGUGGAGGCACACCCAAGGUCGAUGGACACCGUGCUCGUCGUCAAAGGGAGAAGGUGUGGCACGCAGCGGCAGCUGGCGACGAGGAUGCCCAUGCCAAGAUGUUGCAAAGCGGCGAGCCCGGAUCGCCCUCACUAUGGAGCAUGCCCUGGUCGUUCGUUUGCUCUCGCCAGAAUUCCCCCAAGGAGGAUCUGAACAUGUCCAGUGUCGUGUACGACACAUUCAGCUCUCGCGACGAGCAGAUCCGCCUCAACCUCUAUUACGCCUUUGACCGCUACUUCCGUGACCAUGGGGACAAUGGUAAGGGUUAGGGUAAAGGAAUGGGCGGGCGUGGUCGAACUUCAUCUAUAGUCCUAUGAAGCAGAACGUGUCAAAUUUUGGUAGUCCGACGAAUCAACUUCCCUAUGCUAUGUCCUAAUUUAGUACUCCCUCCGGUCCUUUUUACUCUGCAUAUAAGAAUUGUCUGAAGUCAAACUUCGUAAAGUUUGACCAUAUUUAUAUGAAAAAAUAUUAACAUCUACAUUUCUAAAUUUAUACAAUAUGAAAAUUAAAGUCAUGACACAUUUAAUGUCGUUGAUUUCGCACUAUGAAUGCUAGUAUAUUUUUCUAUAAACUUGGUCAAAGUUUACGAGGUUUGACUUCAAACAAAUCUUAUAUGCGAACUAAAAAGGACCGGAGGGAGUACGGUAUGCAUGAACAUCAUCCUAUGCCCUGUACGAACUAUGAAAGUAUGCGUGUUGAUCCAUAUUGCAUGCUUGUGUAUGAAUUUGAGGAGGAGAAUUGUUGCGCGGACUAUACGUGGAUGUGUCCGGACGUGUCAACGAACAUAAAAGAGUCAGAUUUGCCCAUUCGUAGAUUACUGAAUUCCACUAGGGUAGAAUGAGCUGAUUGAGAGAAGAGAUGGGUGGUGGCACUGACAGCUACGGUGGACAGCUAGCCGUGCCGAGACGGCGACAGAGAGGGACAGCCAACGAAACCUGCUCUCCAUCUCGUUUCCUCCCGUUCCCAUACGGGUCCGGGGCCAGGCGGACCACAGCCUGUCCCAUCAUUCGCGAUAAAGGGAAUUUUCUCUGCAGAGGGGUGAACGCCGAACAAAUAAUUCUCUUCACCACUGCAGAAAGGAUGGUGGUACAGUAUCUAUCCGUGUCGUCAUCCUCCUUUCUCGAAUCUCGACGCAGAACCCUGUCGCCUGGUCAUAAAAACCUAGAUCAUGAUUCACACACACACACAAAAAAAAAAAAUCUAUCCCCGUUGCUUGGUCGUCAGAUGAGGCAAAGGAUCGGCGAGCUGCUUCAGAUUGUUGUUGCUUGAUCGGGUGGCCAAUGACAUGAGGGGGGAUUGAUUUGGUGAGCAAACCCAAUGGCAGCAUCCAUCGCCCAUCGAUUAUUUUGCAAGAGGAAGAAGCAACAACAACUGCUACCAGCCAACAGUUUAUUAUCAAUUCCAGGAACGCGAAUUAAAAUUAAUCUAAUCUACCUGCUGAUGAUUGAUGGUGAUGAUGCGCCAAUGUACAGGGAUGUCGAAAUUAUUACUACGACGAAAUCAGGGGAGGUAACUACUAACGGAAGCAAUGCCUCCGCGACUGAAGAUCAGGGGAGGGGAGGAGGAACUAAUUAUAACAGAGGUAACGCGGAUUACGGAGUAUGGUUUUCGAAUUGCUCAACGAUAAACAUGUGACAGAAAGUCGAUUAGUAGCAGCAGGCUAAGCUAUAGCUAGUCCAAGAUGCGAUGCCAGAGCAGAUGUGGAAGGCGGCUGGCCGAUCGUCCGACGACACCUAAUAGAUUCUCUUCUCGUUGCUUGCUUGCUCAUCAUUGGUUGCUUCUUCGAUCUCGAGCCAGGGAGGGAUGAUUCUUUUCUUCUGCGUCGCUGGUUGUCCCUCCUCUGAAUUCGGUAUAGCUUUCACGUUGGCGUACCACGGAGUUGUUGAUGGCUGGUUGGUUCAGGAGCGGCUGCGCAUGGACAGCGCCACCACCUGCGCCCACUGCUUCAGCCUCAUCUUCACC
rnacentral:lncRNA from 1 species